rnacentral:lncRNA from 1 species
CCACAGCCAUAUAUACAUGCUUUCUAGACUUUGAGCCACACAUCUACUUUAUACUGCUUAUGAGCAUUGAGUGUGGUCAAGCUGUGUAGACCCUUUGGAGCUUGUCAUGUGGUUAAGUCAACAUUCACUUGCACGUUCACUCACACAUGCUACUUCUACUCCGGAAGUACCAUCCACAUAUAUCCACUCAUUUCUAUCUCCAGAUUCACCCAAAAUUAUUCUACUCCUAAUCCGGGAGAGAAUAGCCAAAAAUAUUUUCCUAUCCCUGUUAUUCCCUGCGAAAUACAUGCUCGAGUUAUCUUGGUUACUACCACUUGCCACAUUAUUCUAGGAGGAUGAGUGCUCUAAAAAAAAGAAAAAAAAUGAAGAAUACGAGGAAAUAAAAAGGGGCAAGUGCCCGGAACCUCGAAAGAAAGAAAAAGUGAGACGAAAGGUAAAAAUGGACAAGUGUCCGACAGUAGAAUUAGGGGUACAAGAUACCCACGUGAGAGAAAAAGAAAAUAUAGAGCAUCUCAUUCUCCCCAAAAGUUUCAAAAGAGCAAGAAAGGUAUGUAUCCCCUCAAAAGAGCAUAAGUAGAAUUAGACUUUCACCAUUGUUAUCACCAUCAUCACCAUACACCAUUCAUUCGCCACACAUGCACAUCUUGAUUUGACUUAUUGACUUGUUCUUCUGGAUCCAUGGUUUGACUAUGCAAUAAAUGUCUUGUAAGUAUAUAUUAGCUGUCUCCCACCUAUGAGCUCCAGAUAUCAAAACCUUAUUAGAGUAGGGUGAGAGAGAAGGUAAUGUCACUAUGCCUCAUACCAAAAAUACCACAUACUUUGAGAGAAGGCAUACACCUUUACUGCCUUGGUAAGGAUCCAGAAAUACCACAAAAGAGAGACUAGAGAGAGUCAUACAAGGAAUCUCUUAGUUUUAUUUGAAAAUCUGCACAAACUCCAGAGCUAUAGUUAAUCGAAGAACAAGAGACAUGGCGCUUGACUAGACCAUUCUAUCUUUUAACUACUCAAGUCAGAAGUGACGGUUGCAAGCCCCAUGGUGGAAGGUAAUAUGAGUAAAUUUAAAUCUUAACAGUUUACCCUAACCCAGAGAUGAGAUCUUGUUUGAACGCAUGUGUAUCUUUAAGGCAUGAAACCACUGCAGAAACUCUUGAGUUCAUCUUUGCUCAGGGACGAGCAAAGGUUAAGCUUGGGGGAGCUUGUUGACGGUCCUUAAUGCUCACAUUUAACCGUCAGCUAAUUAUAGAAAAGGAUCCAAAUGCAACCAACACCUAGACUUAGGGUUUUAUCUGACAGAAUUCCACAAGUUUUGGUGUUUGUCUAUUUCUGCAGGGGGUUAUCAGGAAAUAAGGAAGAAAGGCCCACACGUCGGGUUUACAUAGAGAUAUUAACGUGCCGCGCAAUUUUCUACCAUCUAGAAGACUCCAGAAGCCACGGGAACGAACGGGAGGCCGAUCGGGCCCGGGGGCAGGGCGCCCGCCCAAGUCCCUUGGGUGCCCGCCCAAGUCCCUUGGGUGCCCGCCCAGCUACAGUAAUCAAUCAGCUUCAACUUCGCGGAUCAUGCUCCACCGACCUAAUACUUCAAGGAAAACCACACGAUCAAUGUCGGUUUGAUCCGACGGCCCAGAUUCAUCUGAAAAGACUAUAUAAGCAAGGCCCCCUGCCCCCUGGAGAGCAUACCUCUUCUACGGAAUCAAAGUUAGGGUUUCAAUUCUUCAUCCAAGUAGAGAGGAUCCCUCUAGUUCUUCUAGUUCUACCUCUAAUUCAUCUAGAUCUAGUUCUAGUUCAUCUAGUUCUAGUUCUAGUUCAUCUAGUUCUAGUUCUAGUUAGUUCUAGUGGUAAUCUAGAAAAUAGGGAGAGAGAAGAGGAGAGCGGAGGAGGAGGAGCCGGAUCUGUCGGAUCUUCCUCAACAUUGUACUUUUGCAGCAACUGGUUUGUUCUUCAUCGUUCUCUAGGUUCUUCAAUUCAUAACUCCUGAGUUCUCUAAUUACUUUUAUUUACAUUCAAGUUAUUUAUUGAAUUCCCGCUUGCAUCAAGUGCUCUAGUCUUUAUAAUGCUAGAGUAGUAAUUAAUAGAUUAGACGUGGUGUUUAGUCUUGCGAUUACCUGGAAUUACACCCAAUCCUGCAGAUUGUUGUGGUAGCCUUAGGGUAGUGACAGCCCUAACGUCGACGUAUUCCACCACGUUCGGAUCGGUGUUUGUAGGACCGUAGUCAGACCUUCCUAGCCCCCUUCUCAUCUCUUUCCGUGGUUAGUGCUCUGAUGUCCCGAUAUAGAUAAUCUUGAAGUAAUUCUUGAUUCUUAGAUCAACUAGAGAACUCUCAGGAAACUUCCUCUCUUCCCACCAAAAAUAUUCAUAUAGUUAUCCUUGGGCGAUCUUGGAUCUUAAUUAGUACACUCACGUUCCCUGUGGAAAAUCGAUACUCUGGAAUACUCCCGGGUGAAGGCUACAUCGGUAUCCGUGCGCUUGCGGAUUUUUCUGUUUGCGUUUAAAAUACCCAACAUUGAGCUUCCUCAAUAAAUAAUACUCCCUAUUUUUAUAUUUUUAUUUUAUAAAGCAGAAAAGAAAUAUUUAUUUUAUUUUUAUGCCACCACAGUGAAGGUACUUAUGGGUUUUAUACCACUCGUAUACUCACAUGGGGCUUAGUAUUUUUUAACAUUUUUAUUUUCUUUUCAAGAUAGCAUGAUUAACUAAUAAUCUAUUUAAGGAAAGUAAAUAAUUAAAGGCAAAAGGGAAUGCAGAAAGGAUAAAUAUGGAUAACUACUGAUCUUACCUUUCGGCGAGGGUUAAAUGUUUUAAGUCUUCUUAACAAGACUUCUCACCGUGUUCAUUCUUCAGGUGUGUCAUUUGAUUCAGGUGCGGACCUUGACGUCUGUACCUCUUGAUACGGUGUCACCCAUGUUCUUCGUUUGCCCAGCAGUUCGAAGUGCGGCGUUGGCAGUAACCGUAACCUGCUCAGUGUGUUUGUGCUCGUAGAUCUAGGCCCUUCACUUGGUAGAGUCUGAGAGUUAUAAAACUCCUCCAUGUUUUGCUCAAAGUGUACCUGCUCAUAGAGACAAGGCAGAGAUCAAGUGCAUGGGUCCUGUUGGUGGAAAACACCAACAGAACCUAAAGUGUAUUUGUUCUUCUCUAACCCUAAGCAUAGUGAGCAAGACAAAGUUGAUGGAUGAAAAGUUCAUGAGUGUAGCACUUAUAACAUUUGUCAGAUCAGAUCGCUCAACCUUAUGAAAAGAUAAUCUAUCUAUGUAUAUGUCUUUUUCUUUAUAUCUCUCAAUGAUUGAAUGUGUAACAUUUUAGCUCAUAUGAUUAGGAGUGUGGGAUCAUGGAGGUAGUACUAAGAACAAGGAUUAAAGGACUAAACAUGUUGAAUCAGUUGGGUUGGUUAAUCUAGAGUUGUAAAUCAUACAUGUUUGUCUCUUUUAUUUAUAUGAACGCCAGAACCAAGGAGAAGCUUAUAAAAGUGAUAGUCAAGUACUUUAAGAUGUUACCUUGCUUGAAGAGUGAUGGUACAGUAUCACCUUGUGGAAGCUUUCCUUUCUUAGCGGUUGUGCAUCGUGUUUGUGGCACCCUCCAUGGAUCAUCUCUCUAUGAUGAAUGAGCUAUGUCCUUCUUGUGCAAAUUGUUAAACUUCAUGUGUCACUCUCUUCGUCUCUGAUGUGAGUUUAUCUCAGGACUUCCCAAAUCGAUAUUGAAAGUUUUUCUGCAGGGGUUAGUCCGACAAAAAUAUACCAAUGUCUACACAAGCAGUUUUUAGUUCAAUAACCGAACUAGACUCCAUCUCUAAUCUGAUUAAGAAAGGCUGUUUAACCUAAGCACCAUGCUUAAUUUAAAAGCCAAUAGAAGUAUGUGCAGUACUUCCAAACUAACACUUACUAGUAAAUAGACAAAGGUAGCAUGACAGCAUUUACAGAGAUAUACUCAAGUGGAGAUGAAGUAGUGUGAUUAGUAUUUAACAAAUUGAGCAUUUCUUAAAGGUAGGGACAACAAACAUAGCAACAUGGCAAAGGAUGUUUUUAUGUAAAGUACUCCCCCAAGCUUGAAUUUUGCAGAAUUCAAGUUUGGAUGAAUUUAAUUUAGUGUUGCACGAUGAUUGGUUGGACAUACCUUGUACUUGCUUGUCAUUCCUCUGAUCUUCUUGUUCCAAUCAUGGAAAGGUUAGUGACAAGAAUACCCGAAGGAAUAUUUUUACAAUUAUCCUUAUAUGCUCAAUACACAAGGUAAUGUUGCAAAUAAUUAAAAACUCAUGUUACGAUCUGAUCAGUGCUUAUUUUAGGACACCAAGCUUGUCCUUGGGAAACCAUCAAUUUAUGUUGGCGAAGUGGUUUCCCUUCCAACGCUGACCUAAAUCAAGAUCAACUCAACAAGAUCUGCAAUAUUUAUUAUAGACGUAUGCAUCGACAAUCGCCCUUUUAAAGUUUUUAUAAAUAGAAAGGAAGAGGGGGUUGGAGAUCUCAAAUGUGGUGAUGUUGGAGAGACCAAUAGAUUGGGAAGAUGUUGCAUAUGAGCAUGGAGUAAACAAAGUGGCUAUGAAAUAAAUUCUAUGCUCAUUAAUGUUAUCUUCGUCUCCAAUCUGAAUGUUCGGAGUUUCUCUUGGAUUGGUCUCACCUAUGUAUAGUUGGAUGAAUCCCAUCUUCAAAGGGAGUCAAGAACUCACCAUUUGAAAUUGAACCAAAGUCAGAAUUCAUUAAGGCUUCUUCCUUAUCCAUCCAUUCUACACAUUCUAGACAUUUAGAACUUGUGAUCAGGAAAGGGGAGGCGUUAGAAUUUUCAUAUGGCUUAGCUCUCCUUCACUUGAUAUGCCAUCCUCGAAUUCUUCAUAACAGGAACCAAGACAUUCUCUAAGAGAACCAUUAUUGUGAGGAUUUGAAUUAUCCCUGCUUGAAGGUCUCUUAUGGAACCAGAAGUCUAAACCAUCAGCAUCUGAAAGAUUUAAGGUCGGAAUUCCUUCCUCCCUUGGAGAAUUUUGGGGUAUUGAUAGUUUAGGAUCGAUAGCUAAAGUUUGGAAUUGAAGUGGUUGUGAUCUGGCUAUUGUUGACGGUAUUUAUACCAUGUUUUCUACUAUCAUAACCGUCAACAUAAGACUCAUUUUGGGAGAAAACAACCAAACAAAGUAGUAAUAUAGGUACAUAUAACCUAGUUCCACAUGUACAUGCUACUAUUUGGUUGCAGGAGUAAGAACAGGUACUUUUCAAGGGUCCAAACACUAAGAAGGGGUGAAUAACUAAAGAUCAGUGACACCAGUAACCAAGACAACAUUAUAGUCAUGAAGAGGAAGACAUGUAGGACAGGGCUGACACCCUAACCCCAUAGAAUUGGGGUCGGGCGACCCCACUUUGGUGGGUCCCACAGGUCAGCUCAACUCCACCGACAUCAGAGAGCCUCCAGGACACUGCAGGUGGGCCCAACCAGCCAGAUAGGGGGUCGGCCGACCCCACUUCAUGGCGGUUCCAGGGUCGGUUGGCCUCCCACCGACCUUGCCCACAUGUUGCACAUGUUAGUUUGCCUCUACCGUUGAUCAGAUGGUGGUUGUGAAGUCGGUUUGAUCCAAUGGUGCAUGAUGAAGAUGACGCGGAUCGCUGACGUGGCACCGGAGUAGCCCCUACUCCAUCUCCCACUAUAAAUACCCCCCUAUUCCUUCACUUAAGAGUCAUGUAUCUUAGGAGUAAACUACUUUAGUAGCUUAGUGCUAUCAUAGUGAGUAGAGAGUGAGGAGUUCCAAGGAGGAGUCCCGGCCUGUCGGGAGUUUUCUUCGCGGAGCACCUCAGCGGAAGCAGGUCUUCUUGUAAGUCUUACUUCUGAGUCUUUUCUAGUAUUUAAUAUUUGGUCUGGUACUUUAAGUAUAAGAAUCCUUUACUGGCACAUUGCUUGAUCUUGAGUGCUCUUAGCUUUAGCUAAGCUUAGGGUAGCAAGAGCUAGUUUAGACGUGGUGUCUAGACUACUUCUUGCCAGUGUGGACUCCUUGUCGCAGUUGUGUAGACACCUAGUGUGAGAGUGACAGUCCUCGCUAGGCGGAAAGUUCCUCGCAUCUGUUGUAGGCAAGUUGCAAAUAAUAGUUGGGCUGAGCAGGGUAGUCGCUUAGGAGACGAGGAGGUGAAAAACUUCGUUAACUCAAUCCUCCUUUUCGGGUAUCGCCCUUAGUAAAGAGUUAGGUGAAAAACCUUGACUAUACUUAAUUACCAAGACCAGGCAUUAAUACUAGUUAGACCUCUCUGCCCCAUUAUCCUAGACCCUUUGAUCAUCACCUAACGAUCUAAAGCCUAGUUAAUUCACUUCGCGUUCCCCGUGGAAAUCACGAUACCUGGAAUACUCCCGGUGAAGGCUACAUUGACUACCGUACGCUUGCGGUAUAACCGUUUGCCACUUCUGGUGUCAACAAGCUUUCUGGCGCCGUUGCCGGGGAACGGUAGCUGUUUUAACUAGGAAAAAAAAAUCGUUAAGUUAUCUUUGUUUGAUUUAAAACUUUAUACACAUAUCCAAAUGGAUCAAACAACCCUCUUCGAUUACGCUGCUCCAACGGGCGCUGAGUUGGAGCCAGCGAGUUCAUCAAAAGCCAUUUUGGCCUGUCACUAUGAGCUUCGCCCGAGUCUCAUAGCGAUGGUUCAGGAGAAUCCCUUUUCGGGAGAAGGAGAUGAAAAUCCUUACACACACCUACGAGAUUUCGAACAACUUUGUUCAUGCAUCCACAUCCAAGGGAUGAGGCGAGUUACCCUCAAGUGGAAGCUCUUUCCGUUCUCUUUGACAGGAAAGGCCAGACGGUGGUACACUCGCUAUGCAGGUAGUGUAGGAGGAGAAUGGGAAAAGCUGCAAGCCAAAUUCUGCCUCACCUACUUUCCCAUCUCUAGAAUAGCUCGUCUCCGUAGAGAAGUCCUAGACUUCAAGCAAGAAGGGAAGGAGUCUCUAGGUGCGGCCUGGGCGCGUCUCACCGACUUAACAUCAUCUGGCCCAGACUUAGGUAUAACCGAGCCAAUUCUUAUGCAACAUUUUUACCUCGGACUUAGCCAACAAUCCGCACAAUUCCUUGAUUUAGCCUCCAAGGGAGCAUUCCUUCAUUUACCUAUCAGUGAAGGUAAGGCCAUUCUUGGGACUAUUCUCGAGAAUACCCCUUACACUGAUGAUCAUAUUGAAGCUCCUGAGGAAGAUCGAACUCCUAGGGAUGAACCUUCGACAGCCAAAACUCCUUUAGCCGCAACCCAAGCUGUCGAACCUGAACCAAUACCACAAGCACCUCCAAGGGAAGAAGUAAUUCAUCCCUUGGAUUACCCACUUAACAUCGAGACUGAUCUAUUUGCCGAUUUUGGCAAUGUCUCGAAUCAACCUGUGCAAAGGAGAUCUACAGCACGCAGAGCUCCGAAUAGCCAUAUCCCAGCUCAUCUUGAGGCUGGUUACCUUAGGGCAACUGCCCAAGAACUCACGGCUAUUAUGAGUAAUGAAUGGUUUAGAGAAGCUGAGACAUCAUCUGAUGUCAUCAAACUUCUCUCGAGUUUUACACCCAUUCCCUGUGUCAUAAACUCCACUCCUAUAGAAUCCAUUUAUGACCCUGCUGUAGGAGUAGGCCUAAUGUCCAAGUCAUUAGUACUGACACUCCUAGGCGAGGAACCAUUAACCCCGACCAGCAAAUUUCUUAAAUUACCCUCUGGGGAAAUGGUCGAGAGUUGUGGGAUUGCACAGAAUAUUCCUGUCUCCAUUAACAAAGUCAACAUUCUGCUAAACUUCUUUAUCUUUGAUAUGAAAGAAGUUGACUUGUUAAUCGGGCACCCCAUCAUGAGGUUCCUAAAUGGAUUUCAUGAAGGGCAUUUCAAGGGUAACCUCGGGAAGGGCUUAGACCUUUCUAUGCCUUUUGCCGGCUCUAUUAAUUCUAAAGCCGAGACCCCGCCCGAGCCUGACCCAAUAGAGGAGGUGAUAUCGGCAUCUCUUCUGGACACUUCUCAGCCUGACUUAGAAGAAGACGCCGAAAACUUCAUCCAAGAAGAAGAGAACAAAUUAGAAGAACCAUUAGACUUGGAUGAAUCUAAACCACCACCAAAACCCUCUAUAGAACUUAAGCCACUUCCCUCUGGACUUAAGUACGCCUUCCUUAAUGGUGAUAGAGAGACUCCGGUAAUCAUUAGUGAUCAACUGACAGAAGAAGAAGUCACCAAACUCAUCACCGUCUUAGAAGAACGCCGCUCUGUCUUAGGAUACUCGUUAGAAGACCUUAAGGGAGUUAGUCCUGCACUCUGCACUCAUCACAUCCCUAUCGAACCCGAUGCUAUACCUUCCAGGGUGCCUCAGAGAAGGCUAAAUAAUGCGAUGAGAGAAGUUGUGAAGAAAGAGGUCUUAAAACUAUUGCAUGCGGGCAUAAUCUACCCUGUUCCGAACAGUGAGUGGGUCAGCCCCGUUCAAGUAGUUCCUAAGAAAGGAGGAAUGACGGUCGUUAAAAAUGACAACAAUGAACUCAUUCCUCAACGGACCGUCACGGGAUGGAGAAUGUGCAUAGACUACCGAAAACUUAACAAGGCCACUAAGAAAGACCACUUUCCGUUGCCAUUCAUCGAUGAGAUGCUGGAACGGUUAGCCAAACACUCUUUCUUCUGCUUCCUUGAUGGGUAUUCGGGUUACCAUCAAAUCCCAAUCCAUCCCGACGACCAAAGUAAGACUACAUUCACAUGCCCCUACGGAACAUAUGCAUAUAGGCGCAUGUCUUUUGGCCUAUGCAAUGCUCCUGCCUCUUUUCAAAGGUGCAUGAUGUCCAUCUUCUCCGAUAUGAUCGAGGAAAUCAUGGAAGUUUUCAUGGACGACUUCUCCGUCUAUGGGAAAACUUUUGAUGAUUGCCUAAAGAACCUGGACCGAGUCUUACAAAGGUGCCAAGAGAAGCACUUGAUCUUGAACUGGGAAAAGUGCCAUUUUAUGGUUCGAGAAGGGAUAGUGUUAGGACAUAGAGUGUCCGAACGUGGGAUAGAGGUAGAUAGAGCUAAAAUUGAAGUUAUAGAACAGCUCCCUCCUCCCACAAAUGUUAGGGGCGUCCGUAGCUUUCUUGGCCAUGCAGGCUUUUAUAGAAGGUUCAUACAAGAUUUCUCUCAAAUUGCUAGACCUUUAACAAACCUGUUUGCUAAGGAUGCACCCUUUGAUUUUAAUGAUGAGUGCUUGGAUUCCUUUUACUAUCUUAAGAAAGCACUUAUCUCUGCACCAAUCAUUCAACCCCCUGAUUGGUCGCUACCUUUUGAGAUAAUGUGUGAUGCUAGUGAUUACGCUGUAGGUGCUGUCUUAGGACAGACUAAAGAUAAGAAGCAUCAUGCAAUAUCUUAUGCUAGCAAAACACUAACAGGACCACAGCUGAAUUAUGCAACAACUGAAAAAGAACUGUUGGCUGUAGUGUUUGCUAUAGACAAGUUUAGAUCUUAUUUAGUUGGAGCAAAGGUGAUUGUUUACUCCGAUCACGCAACUCUAAAAUACUUGCUCACUAAAAAAGAUGCUAAACCAAGAUUAAUAAGAUGGAUCCUACUACUCCAAGAAUUUGACUUAGAAAUUAGAGAUAAAAAGGGAGUAGAAAACUCGGUAGCCGAUCACUUGUCUAGGAUGCAAAUCGAGGAUAAACAGGAUCCACCUAUCAACGACUACCUUCGAGACGACACACUCCUCCGAGUUUCAGAAGCCUACCCAUGGUAUGCAAACAUAGUCAACUACCUGGCGUCCGGAUACAUACCAUCUGGGGUAGACAAGAAGAAGCUUGUUAAAGAGAGUAGGGUGCACCUAUGGGACGAUCCUUACCUCUACAGAGUCUGUCAAGAUGGCAUACUCAGGAGAUGUGUUCCCAUGGACGAAGCAGUAAAAAUAAUGGAAAAAUGCCAUGGGGCAGAGUACGGAGGCCACUAUGGAGCAUUCAGGACCCAUGCCAAGAUAUGGCAGAGUGGAUUCUACUGGCCUACCAUGUACGAAGAUACAAAGCACUUCGUGAGGAGAUGUGCAAGGUGUCAGAAGCAUGGGAACAUCAAUACUCGUGAUGCAAUGCCACUCACAAACAACUUACAAGUCGAGAUAUUCGAUGCUUGGGGCAUAGACUACAUGGGGCCAUUCCCUUUGUCACAAGGGUGUGAGUACAUCCUAGUGGCAGUAGACUAUGUGUCCAAGUGGGUCGAAGCAAUGCCCUGCAGAGCAGCCGACUCUACACAUUCGAUAAAGAUGUUCAAGGAAGUCAUAUUUCCACGCUUCAGCACCCCCGGACUAGUUAUCAGUGAUGGAGGGAGCCACUUCAUUGACAGAAGAUUCCGACGGUUCUUAGCUGAAGUGGGGAUAAGGCACAACAUUGGAACACCCUAUCACCCUCAAACGAGCGGACAAGCAGAAACAUCUAACAAACAAAUCAAGAACAUUCUGCAGAAGACUGUCACUAAGAUGGGAACCGGCUGGAAAAGCCAUCUACCAGAUGCACUUUUGGCAUACAGGACCGCAUACAAGACCCCAAUUGGUAUGACACCAUACCAACUUGUAUACGGUAAGACAUGCCAUCUACCGGUAGAGCUAGAGCAUAGAGCUCACUGGGCAAUCAAGAAAUGGAACAUGGAUUUGCCCUCGGCCGGAAGAAAUAGAAAGCUCCAAAUCUCCGAACUAGAAGAAUGGAGAGAUAAAGCCUAUCACAAUGCCAGGAUCUACAAAGAGAGAACAAAAAGAUGGCAUGAUAAAAGGAUCAAGCAAAAGGAAUUUCAUCCUGGGGAUAAGGUUCUCAUGUUCAACUCAAGGGUCAAGUUAUUUGGCCAUGGAAAGCUAAGGAGCAAAUGGGAAGGACCAUUCUUCGUUGUUGACGCCGCGACUCAUGGAGCGGUAACGCUGCGGGACGACGACGGCAACACCUUUAAGGUAAAUGGUCAUCGUCUUAAAGUUUUCCAUGAACAUGAACCUUUAGAAGAAGAAGUUGAUAUGAUAGAAUUUGAAUCUGACACAAAGUCUUAAAAUCCACAUGUCCUUCUUUUUACCCCCUUUUUGUUUAAAUAAUUGCUAAAUCAAUAUAUUUAGUUCCUUUUUGUUUUGAAAUAGGUUUGUAAAGGGUUUUAGAUGACGUAGGAUCAAAGUUGGGCCGCCGAACACCCCAAAUGGGGGUCGGCCGACCCCUCUUCUAGGGGUUUUGGCCCAAGGGGGGACAGGUUUAGAAAGAGGGGAAUGAAUAGAGUUCGGUGCUGAAAUUCAAAAUUCAAAAUCCUGAAAUAUAGGGGUCGCCCGACCCCAAUAUUUUGAGUUUUGAAAUCCCCUGGAGUCUCGGAUCGUCCCUCAAACGUUCCACGACGCUCCUUUUCAAAAUUCAAACUCUCAGGCUCCAAACACAUCUAUUUAUCCACCCUCUUCUUCUUCUUCCUCCUCUCAAUUCAUUCCUUCUCAUCUUCACCUUGAACCAGACUCUCCUAGCCUCCAUUCCUUGCCAAGAGAUUCAUCUCCAUGGCUCCUCCAACUAAAUCUUCCAACCAAGCCAUUCGCUCCAACUCCCCACGUCCGCAAAGGUCUCUAACUGAGAGCCUGGAGCUUGCCCUAGCCGUCAACGUGCUGGAGCCUGAACCACUAGCCAUGGUGCCGCCGGCUGGAGGGCCGACGGGCCCCAUGUGGGGGUCGCCCGACCCCAAGAGGGGUCGCCCGACCUCGCCCCGGGUGACGCAGCGCUCCGCGUCGGCCUCUCGUUCGCUCACACCGCGCAGGGGCAUCGGCAAGUCCCCUACUCGAGCCGUAACGCCGGUUCGACCUACCACGGGCCAACUUGCGCUGCGGGAGAAGGCGCCGAUGGCCACCAAGCAGGCCAUCACCAUCUCCUCCGACACGAUCCACACCUCUUCCUACUCGCCGUCCACCCCAACCUUUUGGAGGAACCACCAAGUGGUGGGCAGUGGGCCGGGAAAGGGGAAGGUGCUGAUCCCGCCGCUGAACUCUAAGGAAAAGAUGGAGUUGCUGGAGUCCUUUGACUCGUCAGCAAGUCCAUCCAUCCGGCGGAAGAUGGAUCCACCUCCGAUCAACGGUGCGCCUGGCAAAUACGAAGAAGAUCCAGAAAAAGGCGACAUCGAGAAGCUCCUGGAAGUCACAGCUAGCCUUAGAAAGAAAAAUAGGAUCUUAGAGGAGACAGUGUCGGAGCUCAGGAUGGAGAAUCUUGAGUUAGAAGAUCACUUCCGCCACCUGCGCAUCGCUAAAAUCAAGCGUUUGGCGCAAGCAAUUGGGCGGGAGGAUCUCCUCAAACCUCCAUCUCCCUAAAUAAAUUAGUUAGUUUAGGUUAUAGGCACUAUUUGAUUAUUUAGGUUUGAUUACUCAAUUUUAUUUUUCAAUUUGUCACUUUGAAUUUCGCAAUGUAAAAGUGCCUAUACAAUUGAAAUUUGAUUUAAUGGAGUCGUUUUUGGUCCUGCUGGUGUGUUGCCACCAGCAGGACAUCUGCAUUUGAUCGUCUCUCUCUGUUUUAAGUUCAGCUGCACGAAAACUGCAAGUGUGGGGGGGUCGCCCGACCCCCCAACUUCAUCUCUGAACUGCCGUGAGCAUGGAACAACACUGCAUACACCUUGGCACGUCAUGGCACCAAAAACAGGCGCGAUGAGGGGGUCGCCCGACCCCUUUUCUAUGGCAAAAGAAAACGACACAAGUGCAGAAAGACUUCCCGAGGGACGUAGAAUCGAGUGGCAGGGCCAGGAACCUCCAGGUGGGGUCGGCCGACCCCUCCAUAGAGCCCUGGGCCCACCAGGAAGCUUCUAUACGACGAAACACAUCUUUCCUGCCCGGUUUGCUAACUCUUCCCCCUCUCAGUCUGUCCAAUUCUUUACCUUUGUGUCACAAUUAAAAUAAAAUUUGAUAGUUUAAACUUGUUUGCAAAAUAAAAAGUGAACUGGUUCAUGAUUUAAGAGAAAUUGUGACAUAAAGUAUAGUUCUUACAAUUGUUCAUCCUCAUGGGUUAAAAUCUAUAGGAACCAUAUUGACUAAGUUGUUGAUGAAAGUGAUAUAACUCUUGGCUAAGAAUUCAUAACAUUUCUAUUCAAGGUACUUAGAGAUUUGUUUCAAAAAUAUCACAAAACCAUUGUAUCAUUUACUCCUCAUUAGCAAGAAAUUCCCACCAAAAGCCAUACACUUAGAUAUUCAAGUAACCAUUUUAUGAAAUGCAACCUGCUUUUGUAAUGAGUUUUGUCAAAACCUUGUUGACCCUAGUGAGAGUUGUAUCAUAGUCACAAGAUCAAGAUCACGUACACACCACAUAUAUAUAUGCUGCUUCUACACUGGAAGUACGCAACCACAUGUAUUGUGCAUCCACUAAAUAGGUUGCUCCAUACUCUAAGUGUUAGAACACCUCUCUAAAUAUUGUUUAGAAAAUGAGACAUAAAAGGCUUGGCAAAAUAAAAAAAAAAUUGAGCACAUAAAGCUCGAAGAAAAAGAAAAUCUAGCCAUGUCUCAAUAUACAAGUAGAGAGAGUGUAGCAAAUAAAGGAGCAACCUAGUCCACCAUAUAACACACUUGCACAUCUUGAUCUAUGACUAUGACACUCCUCUCUUUGGAUCCUUGUUUUUGACUUAACAAUAUUUGCAAAGUAGAGUAUGCUACCUUGUUUAUCCCUACCAAGCCCCAUAUAAGCCUAUAGUUAUAGGAUGAAACAAGUUGGCAUUCAUGCCUUGGUGAGGACUACUAAAAAAAAAACUUUUAGUGAUCUAGAGCGCUAAAUGAGGAGUAGGAUUGAACUAUGUAACUUAUUUUAAAAAGUGUCAUAAAAACUCUAAGUACCAAGAAUAUGAAAUUGGAAUUUGAUCUUGUUCUGAGAGUUGUUCCUUUUCUCAACCUCUGAAGGAUAUAUGCUAGACCCUUACACAAAAACCCAUUUGGAUGAACUAUGUUCGAACUAGCAUUUUAUGCUCACUACUAUCUUAAGUUAGAAACCAUUGAUCACUCAUUUUUAACCUUUACUCGAGGACGAGCAAAGACUCAAGUGUGGGGGGUCUUGUUGACGGUAUUUAUACCAUGUUUUCUACUAUCAUAACCGUCAACAUAAGACUCAUUUUGGGAGAAAACAACCAAACAAAGUAGUAAUAUAGGUACAUAUAACCUAGUUCCACAUGUACAUGCUACUAUUUGGUUGCAGGAGUAAGAACAGGUACUUUUCAAGGGUCCAAACACUAAGAAGGGGUGAAUAACUAAAGAUCAGUGACACCAGUAACCAAGACAACAUUAUAGUCAUGAAGAGGAAGACAUGUAGGACAGGGCUGACACCCUAACCCCAUAGAAUUGGGGUCGGGCGACCCCACUUUGGUGGGUCCCACAGGUCAGCUCAACUCCACCGACAUCAGAGAGCCUCCAGGACACUGCAGGUGGGCCCAACCAGCCAGAUAGGGGGUCGGCCGACCCCACUUCAUGGCGGUUCCAGGGUCGGUUGGCCUCCCACCGACCUUGCCUACAUGUUGCACAUGUUAGUUUGCCUCUACCGUUGAUCAGAUGGCGGUUGUGAAGUCGGUUUGAUCCAAUGGUGCAUGAUGAAGAUGACGCGGAUCGCUGACGUGGCACCGGAGUAGCCCCUACUCCAUCUCCCACUAUAAAUACCCCCCUAUUCCUUCACUUAAGAGUCAUGUAUCUUAGGAGUAAACUACUUUAGUAGCUUAGUGCUAUCAUAGUGAGUAGAGAGUGAGGAGUUCCAAGGAGGAGUCCCGGCCUGUCGGGAGUUUUCUUCGCGGAGCACCUCAGCGGAAGCAGGUCUUCUUGUAAGUCUUACUUCUGAGUCUUUUCUAGUAUUUAAUAUUUGGUCUGGUACUUUAAGUAUAAGAAUCCUUUACUGGCACAUUGCUUGAUCUUGAGUGCUCUUAGCUUUAGCUAAGCUUAGGGUAGCAAGAGCUAGUUUAGACGUGGUGUCUAGACUACUUCUUGCCAGUGUGGACUCCUUGUCGCAGUUGUGUAGACACCUAGUGUGAGAGUGAUAGUCCUCGCUAGGCGGAAAGUUCCUCGCAUCUGUUGUAGGCAAGUUGCAAAUAAUAGUUGGGCUGAGCAGGGUAGUCGCUUAGGAGACGAGGAGGUGAAAAACUUCAUUAACUCAAUCCUCCUUUUCGGGUAUCGCCCUCAGUAAAGAGUUAGGUGAAAAACCUUGACUAUACUUAAUUACCAAGACCAGGCAUUAAUACUAGUUAGACCUCUCUACCCCAUUAUCCUAGACCCUUUGAUCAUCACCUAACGAUCUAAAGCCUAGUUAAUUCACUUCGCGUUCCGCGUGGAAAUCACGAUACCUGGAAUACUCCCGGUGAAGGCUACAUUGACUACCGUACGCUUGCGGUAUAACCGUUUGCCACUUCUGGUGUCAACAGCUAUCGAAACUUCUUCUUCUUGUCAAGGAACUGGUUCUGUCUCUUUCUCAAGGAUAUAAAAGUUAGGAGACUUUCCACUUAAUAAAUCAAUCAAAUUCCAAGCUUCACUAGCAGGUAGGUGAUAGAAGGAUCCUCUAGAGGCUGUAUUCAAGGUUUGCUUAUUUUCCCUACUAAGGCCCUCAAAAAAGUGAAUUAGAAGAACUUCUGGAAUAGAAAGCUUUGGGCCAGUGAGAGUAAGGUUAAUAAAGCGGUCCCAUGAUUUCCUAAGAGAUUCUUUUUCCAGUUGUCUAAAAGAAAUAAUCUCACGCCGAAGUUCCGCCACUUUGGAGAUUGGAAAAUAUUUAGAAAGAAAACUACUAUAUAACUCCUUCCAAUCUCCAUGAACACUCCCUAUUUUGAGUUUGUACCAAUGUCUAGCUUUUCCCGUUAAAGAGAACGGAAAGAGCUUCCAUUUGAGGGUCUCAUCGGACAUUCCUUCUAUGCGAAGGAGGUCAUAGACUCGAUAAAACUCUCUUAGGUGUGUGUAUGGGUUUUUCUCACCUUCUCCUGAGAAAGGUUGUUUUUGAACAAAUUCUAUGUAUUCGGGGUCUAUCUCAAAACUAGAUGCUAUGAUGGCUUUGAAGAUUUUGGUGGUUCGAGAUGUGUGCCCGUAGGUCUAUGAAAUUCAUAGAUAGACAUGUUUGAAUUCAUGAUAGACCAGAGAUCAAGGAUUAGAUAAGAAGAAAGAUUAGCAGAGAUGAGGCAAAGGAUAAAAAGAAUUUUUUUUUAUUUUUUUAGAAAAUGAUUAAGCUAGUUCGUAGUCAACUCAGCAACCGUUUCCCCGGCAACGGCGCCAAAAAUGCUUGUUGACACUUGCUAACACCACUUGAAUACUAGGUUGUCAUCCCCAGCAUGGCACUAGAGUGUACUAUGGUAUUUAUACGCACACAGAUAAUCCGCAAGCGCACGGAUACCGUUGAAGCUUUUACCCGGUUAAAGCUUUUAUCGUAUCCACAGGGAAAUGGGAGAACUAAUCUACGCUCUAACUUAACCAAGAUAAGUAAAUAGGUGUAAAUAGGAAAGAUGGUAGAAUUGAAUAAGAACAAUAUUAAAGGUAAGAUAACAGUGAGUGAUAAUAUGGGAAUAGAGGUGGAUAAACCCUACCCGUCCUGCUAACGAGAGGUGGACUACAAAGGACCAAUGUAACUGUCACCAACGCGGCCUACCACACGAUCCAGCUAGACAGGGCAUAUCCACAUGUAAUCUAGAUCUAAGCACCUCGCUCACACCAAUACUACAACUCUAACCUAUAGCAUCCUAUCUAUACUAUAAUGGACCAAUUAAAACUAUUCUAGGUCUACCAACAAAAAUGUCCCGCGCUGAGAGUCUCUAAUCAUUAUGUACCCAGAAAAAUACACACAACAAAUCGGCUCUAUUAAAAUUAAAGGCUAAAAAAGACUCGAACCCAAUCCAACGGCUCAUGAUCAAAGUUUGAUGCCAGGCUUCAACGCACUGGCACCCCACGGGACCUCCAUCCGCACACGCAAGGCUUCAAAUGCGCAUCCUCUUAUGCAGACACCAUCGCGAGCAGGGUUCGAAGUCUGAGAACACGGAAUAAAAAAUGGAAAAUAUCAAGAUCAGUGCGCGAGCACCUCUAAUCCCACCUGCCGGCCACCUCCUCCCGGAUCGCAAGCUGACCUCGACGCCCUGGCCAUGCUCCUCACCGCCAAUCCCUCCCCCACCAGCCCUGCCACGCUCGAUCUACGACCGUCUCCUGAGUCCCGACGCUCCAGACUACUGCCACCAAUGGACGCAUCGAAGACGCCAUGGAUCUCGCGGCUAGGGUUCCCUACCGGUGCCGCUCGUCAGCCAUCUCCAAUCGUGCUCGCAGCUCCGGUCCAGGAUGCGCAGUAGUGGCCAUGGCCAGGUCAAGAGGAACCGUGCUCGCCAGCCCGCCCCAUGGCGCCCAGCGACGCCCUCGCCGGGGGCGCACGCGACGCCACCUCUGCGCGGUCCUGUCGGAGCCACACACACCGCCGCCUGGGCCCUUCUCGCCGCUGGUCGGCCAGCCAUGACAGCCUAGAUCUAUGCCCCGCCGGCCCCCUUGCUAGGCACGGGAGAUCGUGCCCCGCCACCUCAUGGAGAGAUCGCGCUCUCUUGCCAUAGAUCGAACCCCUGCAGACACACAAAGAGGUAACGCACCACCUGCUCGCUGAAUAUCGAGGACGACCUCGCCUGUGCCAUUCGUGGCCUCUCCUGGAGUUCAGAGCUCGCGCCUGCCCCAGGCCUUCAGAGGUCAUCUCGCAAGGUGAGAACUCUCCAACCGUGGAUUAACUGCACCUUUUGUGUGCCAUAUUUCAUUGCUGAAUUAACUUCUAACCAUGGAUUAACUUGCAUCUCUAGCAGCAGCUGAGCAACAAAUUAAGGGUGACUAGGCGAGACACACCUUCAGUAUGAAGUACGAGAUAUGUCCUCCAAGUACACUGCACACUGAUAUUCUUUAGAUCCCUUGAAAUUUUUAAUUAUUUGGCCUAAAAUUAAUUCAUGUUCUGCAUAUUACUUGUAAGUUAAAUAUCAGCCUCAAUAUUUGACAUGUGUUUUAGCUUUGCUUCUUGGUUAGUAACGAUGAUAAAUUAUUUGUUGAAAGUUAAAUGAAUUAGCAUAAAUUUUCAAAUGAAUGGACUGAAUCAACGUGAUUCAGAUUAGCAGAGAUAGAAGGUUGAACUUUUAAAUUCUUUAGUGCAUCUCAUAAUAAGCACAGCAGUACAACACAGUCUCUAAGACCGUGGUGGUCAUAUAUGAGUUGAUUAAAUCUUGAAAUGCUGCAGUUGAAGUCAAAAUGCAGCACCAUGAUGGUUUACUAUGGAUAGGAUUGAAUAAUGGUAUAUGUAUAAAAAAAGUAGACUUUCGGUUUCUGCCAACUCAUUAUCUUUAAUCUGACAUUUUUAUGCUAUAAUAAAACUAAUGCAAGGACUUUGUUGGAUUAGUCUCAUUUGUACAUAGUACCAUAUAUCUUUAUUUGCCAUGCACUAGAUGGAUUUGAGUAGGUACAAAGAUGGGUCGGUGUUGACGGUCCUUAAGUAUCAAAUUUACUUAUCAAAUAAACAAAGAAAAGGAUCCAAAUGAAAUCAACAUGUAGACUUAGGGUUUUAUCUAACAGAAUUCCACGAGUUUUGGUGUUUGUCUAUUUCUGCAGGGGGUUAUCAGGAAAUAAGGAAGAAAGGCCCACAUGUCGGGAUUACAUAGAGAUAUCAACCCACCGCGCAAUUUUCUACCAUCUAAAAGACUCCAGAAGCCACGGGAAGGAAGCGGAGCCCGAAAGGGGCCAAGCCCAGGGCGCCUGCCCUGAGGACCUGGGCGCCCGCCCCCCUCUGGACUCCGUUCCGGACUCUCUUCGCACACGACGUUCCACCGACCUAUUGGAUCCAGAAUAACAUAGUACCACCUCGCCUAUCGACCCAAAAACGCAUAGAAGGGGAGGACUAUAUAAGGAGACCCCCUCUGGCCCCUGGAGGAGACAAGAAAUUAUCAUAGAGAUUGAGGGGUGCCCUCGAAGGAAAACCUCUUCUCUAAAUAAUAUUUCUUUUUAGGCUUAGCAACCAAUGUAAAGUAGAAAUAGAUCUUCUAGUUUCUACUAGAUUGAGAGAGAUAAAGUGGAGGUGUGGAUCGGAGGAAGGCCGGCCUGUCGGUGUCUACUCCGAGUUGUACCUGCGGGAUCAAGUCUCCUAACCCGAGGCUUGCUUCUAAGAUUCUUCAGUAAUUCGACUUCUAAUACUAGUAAGUUCUUGUUUUAUUGUUCUUUGGUUUAUGAGUUUACUUUAAUCCUCUUCCGGUUAAGUAUUAGAGUAAUCACUUGUUAGCGUAAACGUGGUGUUUAGGCUAGGGUACUCAUAGAUAUCCCCUGACUAGCUGGACCGUGGUACUAGCGAGGAACGUGACAUUUCCGAGUUACCUUUGCACAUCACAUCUCGUUAGCAGGACGAGUAGGUUUAUAGGUGCGGGUCGAACAUCCUUUGUGUUGUCUAGAUUCCGUGAGCCUCCCCAAUAGAACAGUAGAUCAUCCUUACCAAGGUUAGAACGAGACUACAGUUGCAGUCUUCUCUAUACAUCACUCACAUCGAGAGACAUUCUUUGUAGUCUAAAGGGAUAGUAGCAAUAGAUUUGGUUAGUCAGAUGCACCCUUUCUCCCAGUGGUAAAAAUAUAAAUACGAUAACUCUGGAUAACCUCCCGAGUGAAAUGCUCACCGAUAUCCGUGCGCUUGCGGAUCAUUUCCUUAUUGCGUUACCAAAUAUCAACAAGCAUUUCUGGCGCCGUUGCCGGGGAGAAAGAUGGUUUGCUGAGAUAACUUCGAGUCUUGCUAUUAUCUUGUAUUAUACUUUUAUACUUUUAUUCUUUUAUCUUUUUAUUAUUAUCUUUAUGGAUAACUUAAAUUUCAUAUGUAUUAUUAAAUUCUUUGCACCUUCGGAGACCAGCCAUAGUCCAUGGGAGUCAACACGUCCUGCCCCUAAUUAUGAUCUGUGUCCGGAGUUGAUUGCAAUAGGUCAAAACCAACCCUUUUCUAUAGCUGAGAUCCUAUCUUUUAAUCAAGAAGAUAAUGCACUUUUAGCUACAUCUAGGGAAUCUUUUAAUCUUUCUAUAAAUUCUGGUUUAGACCUAGCCCUACAAGACCAUGUUUUUCCUAAAUAUUUUCACAUUGGUCUUAAUCAUAUAACCUUUGGUAGAGUCCUUCUUUCUUUAUCUAUUAGUAAAGGAAGGUAUGUCUUCAUUCGUGGACAUCCUUCUUGUACUAGUCUUCAUAGAAAAAUCUUAGAGAUAGAGAAGGAAUCAUCUCCCAUACAAGGAGAGGAAGUUUCAAUAGCCGAUUUCCAAAGAUUUCAAUCCCAUAAUUCGGCUAUCCAACCCAUCCUUGAGCUUAAUAAAUUCUACUAUGCUCUUUCUCUUAAACCUCCCGAUAAUCCUAUGAAUCUCUCUAGACAUCCCAUGCAUAAGAAGGAGGAUCGAGAAGAGCAACAUCAAUGGCUAAAGGGCAUUAAAAAUCCAUGUGCUAUCACCAUUGAAUGGAUAGAUAAAACAAAUUUGAGAGACAAUCCUAGAGGAAUUUUAAGCAUUCAUGAAGAAUCAUCCUUGGAGUUUGAGAAUGAGAGAAACAACAGUGAGCAUGGAAGUUAUUUCAUAAAUACCUUACCCAGUCCUUGCUCAUAUAAAACAUCUCUCCAAUCAAUUAGUCUCUCCAUCCUUAUCACAUUUGAGAUCUCCAACCCUCUCUUCUUUUCUAUUUAUAAAAACUUUAAAAGAGCGGUUGUCGAUGCAUAUGUCUAUAAUAAAUAUUGCAGAUCUCGUUGAGUUAAUUGAUGGUUUCCCAAGGACAAGCUUAGUGUCCUAAAACAAGCACUUCUAAUUAUUUGCAACAUUGCCUUGUGUAUUGAGCAUAUAAAGAUAAUUGUAGAAAUAUUCCUUUGGGUAUUCUUGUCACUAACCUUUCCAGGAUUGGAGCAAGAAGAUCGGAUGAAUGGCAAGCACAAGGUAUGUCCAACCAAUCAUCAUGCAACAUUGAAUUAAAUUCAUCCAAUCUUGAAUUUUGCAAAAUUCAAGCUUGGGGGAGUACUUUACAUAAAAACAUCAUUUGCCAUGUUGCUAUGUUGGUUGUCCUUACCUUUGAGACAUGCUCAAUUUGUUAAAUACUAAUUACACUACUUCACCUCCACUUGAGUAGAUCGCUAUAAAUGCUCUCAUGCUACCUUUAUUUGCUUUAGUAUAUGUCUAGGUUUGGAGUAGUUUCAUUUAUCUCUUAAAUCAAGCAUGGUGCUUAGUUUAGGAAUGAUGAUCUUACUUCCAAAGGAUUUUUAAAUUAAGCAUGGUGCUUAGGUUAAAAUGCCCUCCUAAAUCAAAUUAGACAUGGUGUCUAGGUUGAUUUUUGAGCCGAUAGUAUGCUAUAGUAGAUAUGGGAUAUUUUGUUGGACUAACCCCUACAGGAAAAUUUUCAAUAUCAACCUGGGAAGUCCUGAGAUAAACUCACAUUGGAGAUAGUGACACAUGAAGUUUAAACAAUUUGCACAAGAAAGACGUAGCUCGUAAGAGAUGAUUCAUGGAGGGUGCCACAAACACGAUGCACAACCGCUAAGAAAGGAAAGCUUCCACAAGGUGAUACUGUACCGUCACUCUUCAAGUAAGGUAACAUUUUAAGGUACUUGACUAUCACUUUUAUAAGCUUCUCCUUGGUUCUAGCAUUCACAUAAAAUAAAGAGACAAACAUGUAUGAUUUGUAGCUCCAAAUUAAUCAACCCAAUUAAUUCAACAUGUUUAGUCCUUUAAUCUUUGUUCUUAGUACUACCUUCGUGAUCCCACACUCCUAAUCAUAUAAGCUAAAGUAUUGCACAUUCAAUCUUUGCAAGAUAUAAACAAAACAUAAAUAUAGAUAGAUUAUCUUUCCAUUAGGUUGAGCCAUCUGAUCUAACAAAUGUUUUAAAUGCUACACUCAUGAUCCAUCAACUUUGUCUUGCUCACUAUGCUUAAGGUUAGAGAAGAACAAAUACACUUUUGGUUCUGUUGGUGUUUUCCACCAACAGGGCCCAUGCACUUGAUCUCUGCCUUGUCUCUAUGAGCAGGACACAUUUUGAGAAACGUGAAGGCGUUCUACAACUCCCAGAUUCCAUCAAGUGAAGAACCGGGAUCUACAAGCACAAACACAAUGGAGAUCAGACACUUAGUUUCCCAAAGGAAAUAUUGAAGAACCUCUGUGUUCGAGUUGGUACCUUGUACACUCCAGCAAACUUCAUGGUGAUAGAGACUGGUAGUGAGGAGAGGGCACCCAUCAUCUUAGGGAGGCCAUUCCUAAACACCAGAGCUGUCAUCUACGCUAAUGCUGCCAAGAUCAGUCUCUACAUCAGAGGGAAGAAGGAGACUUUCCUUCAAGAACAAGACUACACAAACUUCAGAGCAAUCCCGACAUGAACCAAGGAAGAGGACCAAUAGGAGGAACAGGAACAAGCAAAUGUGGACUAAGUCAGCUAAGAUGGUCACUGCAGCUCAAGGAGGUCAAGAUCGUCGACUCAAGUCACCUUUCUUGAUCAAGAAGGACGACACUGGUGUUCCAAGAAUCGAAUGCACAAACAAUGGAUACUCUUUUUAGAAGACACUCUACGACACCGGAUCUGACGACAACAUAAUGGCCGCAGUCACUUAUCAGCUCCUGCAUGGAACCAUGCCCCUACAACCAAGAUACAUUCAGCUUCAAACAAUUUUCAGGUCAUUGACAUAGGAGAAGAUGAGUAUGAUUCAUCCACCAUCCUUGGAAGACCGUUCCUCAGCACUAUCAAAGCCAUUAUCUAUAUUGGAACCGGAGAAGUCCACAUGCACUUCCCCUCUGCGAAAGGUACGCCACUACUUUAAUGAUUAUAUAGUUGAAGAUUCUAAGCAGGUCAGGACAAGAAGAAGACAAACCGCAACCAGAGGAGGCAAAUCAGACGGAUGGGUAGACUACGAAGGAGAAGCGAUAAGGACUGAAGACAUACAACUUGAACAGAACUGUCCUGAGGAGACCGUAGCACCGAGUCAGGUGUGGAAAGAGAAGAUAGUUAUACACGAAGAGGAGUCGCCGCCGGAACCACCGACUACGCCACCCAGCAAAUCCCAGGACGACUAAGAAAACGGAGAGUCCCGUUCGGAGGACUUAAAAAUACCGAACGCCUUGCCAAGAGGUAAACUUGGUAGUUAUCCUUUCCCUUUUAAUUAUUUCAAAUAGUUUACUUAGUUAAUCAUGUUCGUAUUAUCCUAGAAAGAAAAUAAAAAUGUGAAAAAAAACUGUAAGCCCCAUGUGAGUAGACGAGUGGCAUAAAACCCAUAAGUACAUUCACUGUGGUGGCAUAAAAAUAAAAUAAAUAUUUUUCUGCUUUAUAAAAACAAAAAUAUAAAAACAGGGAGUAAUAUUUAUUAAGGAGUCUCAACAUGAUAAAGGCUAGAUAUUUAUGCUAACGCUUAAUCAGUUCCACAAGCUUUGUUGUCUAUUUGAGCUCCACAGAAUUUAAGAAUCAAGAAGACUAGCAGACGGAGGACAUUCUAAUCGCUGUCAAAAUACUGCUGACUUUCAAACACACCUCUGCCACCUGCUAGCUACAUCAAGAGAAAUUACGUCAAAAUUCAGCUUGGGGGAGAGCACCCCCAUUUAUCUCGAUAAGUAUUUCUAUCUAUCUUUAUACUUAUACUAUAUUAGAAUAUAAAUACACCUAACUAUAAAAAACCAAAUAAAGAUUUUAUGCUUAUAUAUAUUUUGCUUAGUGUGUUUAAUAAAUAAAUAAAGUGGCUAUGCUAAUCUGUAUCUAAUAAAACUUUAGCAUGGAUAUGAUGAAUAAUUGCUCUGCCUAAUUUGCAAAUUUGAAGUUCUCUCUCAAGUUUAGAUAUAACUGUUAUAAUUUAAGGCUUGCUCUAGACCUAAACUUGUGGGAUGAAAACUUGAUCUGAAGUCUAAGUUGUUAACGGAUACGAUAUGGGAAGGUUGAGCUGCUGUUUAUCUGUUCCUAGGGAUGCUAGAAUUCUGGAGAAUUUUAUCUUUAAAAAUCUUUAAAAUGUUGCAUGAUGAGUUCCUGUAUGAUGAGAGUUUAAAUUCCUACCACAGCCAUAUAUACAUGCUUGCUAGACCUUGAGCCACACAUUUACUAUUUACUGCUUAUGAGCAUCGAGUGUGGUCAAGCUGUGUAGACCCUUAGGAGCUUGUCAUGUGGUUAAAUCAAGAUUCACUUGCACGAUUACUCAUACAUGCUACUUCUACUCCGGAAGUACCAUCCACAUAUAUCCACUCAUUUCUAUCUCCAGUUUUACCCAAAAUUAUUCUACUCCUAAUCCGGGAGAGAAUAGCCAAAAACAUUUUUCUAUCCCUGUUAUUCCAUGUGAAAUAAAUGCUCCAGUUAUUUUGGUUACUACCACUUGCUACAUUAUUUCAGGAGAUGAGUGCUCUAGUAAAAAAAAAGAGAAAAAAAAGAAGAAAAAAAAGAGAAAAAAAAAUAAUAUACGAGGAAAUGAAAAGGAGCAAGUGCUCGGAACCUCGAAAGAAAAGAAAAAGAAGAGCAUCUCAUUCUCCUCAUAAAGUUUCAAAAGCAAGGAAGGUAUGUAUCCCCUCAAAGAGCAAAGUAGAAUUAGACUUCCACCACCAUUGUUAUCACCAUCAUCACCAUACACCAUUCAUUCACCACACAUGCACAUCUUGAUUUGGCUUAUUGAUUUGUUUCUUUGGAUCCAUGGUUUGACUAUGCAAAAAAAUGUCUUGUAAGUAUGUAUACUUUAUCUCCCACCUAUGAGCUCCAGAUAUUAAAGCCUUAUUAGAGUAGGGUGAGAGAGAAGACAAUGUCACUAUGCUUCAUACCACAAAUACUACAUAUUUUGAGAGAAGGCAUAUACCAUCACUGCCUUGGUAAGGAUCCAAAAAUACCACAAAAGAGAGACCUGAGAGAAUCAUACAAGGAAUUUCUGAGUUUUAUUUGAAAAUCUGCAAAAACCCCAGAGCUAUAGCUGAUCAAGAAUAAGAGACAUGGCACUUGGCUAGACUGUUCUAUCUUUUAACCACUCAAGACAGAAGUGACAGUUACAAGUCCCAUGGUAAAGGUAAAGUAAGUAAGUUUUAAGUCUUGACAGUUUACUCUAACUCAGAGAUGAGAUCUUAUUUAAAAAGCAUGUGUAGAUCAAUUUUUAGAAAUAUUGCAACAAUUUAUGAUCCAUAGUGAGUCUAUCCUUGCUCAGGGACGAGCAAGAGGUAAGCUUGGGGGAGUUUGUUGACGGUCCUUAAGUAUCAAAUUUACUUAUCAAAUAAACAAAUAAAAGGAUCCAAAUGAAAUCAACAUCUAGACUUAGGGUUUUAUCUGACAGAAUUCCAUGAGUUUUGGUGUUUGUCUAUUUCUGCAGGGUGUUAUCAGGAAAUAAGGAAGAAAGGCCCACAUGUCGGGAUUACAUAGAGAUAUCAACCCACCGCACAAUUUUCUACCAUCUAGAAGACUCCAGAAGCCACGGGAAGGAAGCGGAGCCCGAAAGGCGCCAGGCCCAGGGCGCCCGCCCUGAGGACCUGGGCGCCCGCCCCCCUCUGGACUCCGUUCCGGACUCUCUUCGCACACGACGUUCCACCGACCUAUUGGAUCCAGAAUAACAUAGUACCACCUCGCCUAUCGACCCAAAAAAUGCAUAGAAGGGGAGGACUAUAUAAGGAGACCCCCUCUGGCCACUGGAGGAGACAAGAAAUUAUCAUAGAGAUUGAGGGGUGUCCUCGAAGGAAAACCUCUUCUCUAAAUAAUAUUUCUUUUUAGGCUUAGCAACCAAUGUAAAGUAGAAAUAGAUCUUCUAGUUUCUACUAGAUUGAGAGAGAUAGAGUGGAGGUGUGGAUCGGAGGAAGGCCGGCCUGUCGGUGUCUACUCCGAGUUGUACCUACGGGAUCAAGUCUCCUAACCCGAGGCUUGCUUCUAAGAUUCUUCAGUAAUUCGACUUCUAAUACUAGUAAGUUCUUGUUUUAUUGUUCUUUGGUUUAUGAGUUUACUUUAAUCCUCUUCCGGUUGAGUAUUAGAGUAAUCACUUGUUAGCGUAAACGUGGUGUUUAGUCUAGGGUACUCAUAGAUAUCCCCUGACUAGCUGGACCGUGGUAGUAGCGAGGAACGUGACAUUUCCGAGUUACCUUUGCAGAUCACAUCUCGUUAGCAGGACGGGUAGGUUUAUAGGUGCGGGUCGAACAUCCUUUGUGUUGUCUAGAUUCCGUGAGCCUCCCCAAUAGAACAGUAGAUCAUCCUUACCAAGGUUAGAACGAGACUACUGUUGCAGUCUUCUCUAUACAUCACUCACAUCGAGAGACAUUCUUUGUAGUCUAAAGGGAUAGUAGCAAUAGAUUUGGUUAGUCAGAUGCACCCUUUCUCCCAGUGGUAAAAAUAUAAGUACGGUAACUCUGGAUAACCUCCCGGGUGAAAUGCUCACCGAUAUCCGUGCGCUUGCGGAUCAUUUCCUUAUUGCGUUACCAAAUAUCAACAGUCGGCAUACAAAGAAAUUAAUAGGGGUGUUGGAACUAUUCAAUUGAAACAUUUUAUAUUGAUUUUUUUAUUUAAAUAUCUCUAUUAUUUUCUCCUUGACCUUUAGAGCUUCAGCUCUCUUGGGAUUUGUGUGCUCAUCAAUCCUGUUGCUUGUAUAUGUGAGAUUUUGUGACAUAUUGCCUUCAAAAAAAAAAGUAAGUGCAGCUGAGUCUACUAAGACCUUCUGAAGUGAUAAUCAAAUCGUCUUUAUAUUUUUAAGUACGCUACAUAUAGAUAUAUUUGGCAUUGCUACAUUACUAGAGUGCAAAGUUAAAGUGGUUCAUUCAUUUAACCUAAAAGAUGCAUAAAUCUGAAAUGUUUCUCUUCGUGCCUAAAUAUGAAUAUUUAUAUAAUACACUAAUUUGAUGGUAAUUAUUGCACAUUUGCUUCAAUAUUAGUUCUUAUGCUAAGAAGUGUACACUUUUGCAUACUGGAAAUUUUAAUGAUCCCUUGCCCUCAAUGUUUCUAUUGUGGCUACCCAUCACAUGGUAUUUCGUAAGAUCAUUCGUUAACUAUCCUUUCCAGUAUUAAGCGUGCAUCUCACUUCUGAACUCAAGACUGCUUUUGUAGAUUAGAGAGGAUGUUAGAAACUCAAAGCUUCCUGUGUUUUCAUCAUUUAAAGAAAUACAAGGAGUUGGUUUUAACUAUGAAGCUUAAUCUGCAAUUAGAGAUGGAACUUGAAAAUGCUGCAUGUACUGACCAAGUGUAGUUACUCUGUUGUUUGCCUCUGAGCCACCUGAUAAGUCACAGUAUCCCCCUACAACCAACAUUAAUAUUUCUAUUUAUGUGCCUACAAUUUCAUAUGUUAGAAUGUGGUGCUUGAGAAUGUUUCCUAUGUUCGGAUGUGCAUAAUUGGUCAAACAAAUAUUUUUAUUUGUGUCUAAAAUUUCUUUUCUGACUAUAUAUAUUUUGUAAAAUCAAAUUUUAAGGGUUUUUUGUGUAAUUAUUGGGAAGUUAGGAUCCGUUUAUUUGCUCCAGAGAUUGGUUUUGCUUCAAAUUAGCUUGUAGUCUGAUUCUAUUUAUAUUCAAUUCUAUUCAAUUUUCGGUUCAGAAUUCUCAGUGCGUGAUUGGUUGCAGGGAAAUCAAAGUAAGAAAGGAGCCAUCAUAGCAGAGAUUCCGGAAGGUGUGGCCUUCCUAUUUCCUGUUGGGCUAUUGACUUGUUGAUAUGGUGUAGAAAACUAAAUCCUCAGAGAACAUUGACAGAUGCAAAGUAAUUUUUCACAUGCCAUAUGUUUCAUUCACGAGAACACUACCCAGUGCUUGCUGUAUCACCAAUGGUUAUCAAUCAUAUUAUUGUCAUGGUCGUUAAUAUGGCUUGAAAUAGAUGAUGUUGACACUUUGUAGAUUGUAAUAAUUGUUAAACUGCUUCCCAGCUUGAGUAUUAAUAGUAUUUCAAAAACGGAAAUUUGUAUUUCUCUGGUCAUGGAUAUAUUUUCUCAGAUUUUGUAUUUCUCAGGUCAUGGAUAUUUUUUCUCAAAUACACUCUGCAGCUUGCAUGUUGCUUGCCAUUGUUAAACUGCUUCCCAGUGAGAGUCUUAAUAGUAUUUCAAAAAUGGAAAUUUGUAUUUCUCUGGUCAUGGAUAUAUUUUCUCAGAUUUUGUAUUUCUCAGAUCAUGGAUAUUUUUUCUCAAAUACACUCUGAAGCUUGCAUGUUGCUUGCCGUGCUGGAUAAUUGUUCAUUUUGUCGGUGAUCAAAAUUUUAUCUCCCAUUGCAGCACAUGGGUCUUGUUAUGCAAGAGUGUUUUCUAGAUUAUAUACAUGAUCAUAUACAAUUACACAAAACUUACACUAUGAAAAAAAAUAUCAUCCUUUGAUUAUUUUCAUGCAUCCCUAAAAUAAACCCGUGGCGUUAGCACGGGCACUAUACUAGUAGAUUAGAAGUACUCGAAAGAGUUGUGAACCAGAACAUACAUGAUUAGUAAUUGCAUAAUGAAUUAGAAGUAGAUUACCAGAGUCAUCCCAUGAGCAAGCUUGAUUAGAGCUUGAUCAUGACGAAGUACAACCGGAGGAAGAACCGACAGGCCGGCCUCUCCUCUAAUCCUCCUUCACUCUCCAUCUCGCUACUAUCUAGAUCUACUCUAGUUUAGAGAAGAGAGGAGAGCUCUCAUCUCUAAACCCUAGCUUUUGCUCUGUCUAUGAAUAAUGAAUAAUGAUCAAGGGGUGCCUCCUCCAGGGGCCAGGGGUUCUGGUUAUAUAGUCCCCUCAAGUGAACCUGGGCCGUCGGAUCAAACCGACAUUGAUUGAACGGUUAUUCUUGAUCCUUUAGGUCGGUGGAGAUCUCUCGAGAGGAAGAGUCCUGAUUGGGCUCCAAGUCAGGGCGGGCGCCCAGGGCAGGAGGGCGGGCGCCCUGCCUCUGGCCCCGUUCGGCCUCCGCUUCCUUCCCGUGGCUUCUGGAGUCUUCUAGAUGUAAGAUAAUUGUGCGGCACGUUAAUAUCUCUAUGUAAUCCUGACGUGUGGGCCUUUCUUCCGUAUUUCCUAAUAACCGCCUGCAGAAAUAGACAAACACCAAAACUCGUGGAAUUCUGUCAGAUAAAACCGUAAGUUUAGAUGUUGGUUGUAUUUGGAUCCUUUUCUUUGUUUAUUUGCUGAUUAUAUUUGGUACAUAAGGACCGUCAACACCCACCGAACGGGUUCGACAGCCGAUCUCAAGUACCCGAGUCAGGGAUGCCUAGCGAGCGGUCGAAAAACGAGGCUAGCCUCGAGGACUCGCUGGGGAUGUCCAAGGUGAGGACGAGACGGUCGAGAGGAAUCCCCCUGAGGGGAGGCAUCGAGCCGCUGGACUCUAUCGAACGAGACCAGUAACCCCGACCACGUCAACCCCGCUUUAUGAGAACGCCUCCGGGCUACAGCGGACCCCCUCGAACGGGGCACAGGUUCUCACUUGGAUUACCCGCUAGGAGCUCAAUCUGGGGUAGAUGGCGCUCGCUCCACAGGGAGUACGUCACAACCCCGACGCAAACAUCAAGAGCGCUUCCACAGAUUGGGCAACAUAACCCUCAAAGGAGUCAAAACUGUUCCAAGGGCUCGGGGGCUACCCCCGCGGGGUCGCUCGCGCGGCCCCACGGAAUCUCGACCAAUAAGAAGAGCCUCUACUAGAGCGCAAGCGCUCGAAUAGAGACUCGGGGGCUACUGUCGAGGGUAUCGGUAAGGGGUACCCUAACUGAUGCACAUGACGAGAGCAGACGCACGAUUAUCUACAUCUGUAGCCUCGAACGCGAAAAGAGCGUCGUGCGAAUCGACUGGGGCUCGAGCGCCGGCUACCGUCAAAUACAGAAAUAGGCUCGUACGAAUCGAAAGGCCUCGAGCGCAAAGAUGCCGCCCGCCGCCUGACGCGGGCACGGCAACCAGGGCAUUUAAUGCUCCUGCCGUGUUCCCACCUAAGCCGUCAGUCACGGGAAGCGUGAUAGGAAACCAGCACCUGUCCAAUCAUUCUUUUUGCAGCCUUGCCCACCAAACGAGCCAGAGCAUGGUAGGGAGCAGCGAGGUGGUCGAAACGUCCCGUCAAGACCUCCCUCGAGACAUCCAAAGUCAGCGCUCCGCUCAGCAAGGCUUUAAGCGACGUUUAACCCUCGAGCAGGCAUGUUCCUUCCUCAAGAAGGGUCGGGCAACGGAGGACGGCACCUCAACCACUCUGACGCGCCCGCAGUCACGACGUACAAGCGUGCAACGGAUAAACCGAUCCAGGACGGUGCACAGGAGCAGGAUUUAGGGGCACGCAUAAUCAUCGUCAAGGUACCAAGACAAGACGGCUUGAGGCCACGCCGGUACGGAGGCCUCGAGUAGGUCAGCGCGCCUUACCCCUAUCGACCCCUAUUCUGUCGCCUAUACAUGUACCCUAGACCUCUCCUUGGAGCUAUAAAAGGAGAGGCCAAGAGCGGAUACGCAGAAGAACACAAGACAUACGUAGUAGAGCACCCAUACUCCAUCUCCAUCCCACGCCUGUAUUCACCCCUGUACAAGCACUUAGGUGCAAGAUAAUACAAACACUCCCCCCCGCUGGACGUAGGGCCUUCUCUUGCCCGAACCAGGAUAAAUCUUUGUGUCUUUUCUUGCAUCACCAUCUUGUUGAGGAUAUCAGUAAGGGGUAUCCCAACUGAUGUACAUAAUGAGACUGCCCGUACAUAGGUCGAGGCCCCCAACUCGAUGCUCUAAUCAGUCACACGCACAGUCAUCUACGACCGCAGCCUCGAAGACGGAAAAGGCGUUGAGCGAAUCGGUCAGGGCUCGAGCGCCAGCUACCGUCGAAUACGAAAAUGGGCUCGAGCGAACCAGGAGGCGUCGAGCGCAAGGACACCGCCCGCCGCCUGACGCGCGCACGGGAACCAGGGCAUCUAAUGCGCCUGUCGCGUUCUCACCUAACACGCCAAUCACGGGAAGCGUGAUUGGGAACAGGCACCCGUCCCGUCAUUCUUUUUGCAGCCUUCCCCACCAAACAACCCAGAGCGUGUCAGGACACGGGAAGCAGGGAUAGAACGUCCAAUCAGGACCCCCUCGAGACAUCCAGGGUCAACGCUCUGGAUAGCAGGGCGUUACAUGGCGUCUGACCCUCGACCAGACAUGUUUCCUUCCUGGGGAAGGGUUGGACGACAAAUGGCAACACAGCAACCACUCCGACGGAUCUGCCGUGCUGCCGUACAGGUGUGCAACCAGUGAACCAGUCCAGGACAGCGCACAGAGCAGGAUAUCAGGGCACGCGUAAUCAUCAUCAAGCUACCAGGACGGGACGGCUCGAGACCACGCCGGUACGGAGGCCUCGAGUAGGUCCACGCGCCAUGCCUCUAUCGACCCCUACUCUGACACCUAUGCUUGUACCCUGGGCUUCUCCUUGGAACUAUAAAAGUGGAAGCCUGGGAGCGAAUACAGGGGGCAAUCACGCAACACUACACCCAUACGCAGUAGAACUUCCACCUUACUCCAUACCACGCUUGUAUUCACCCCUGUACAAGCACUUAGGUGCAAAAUAAUACAAACUCUCCCCCCCGCUGGACGUAGGGCCUUUUCUUGCCCGAAACAGGAUAAAUCUUUGUGUCUUUUUGCAUCACCAUCUGGAAAAGGGAAGCACGCACACAAAUUUACUCGUUGGUGUGACCCCCCGUGGCUCGGUAGGUAGGGGUCCUGCGUGUUUUUCAUCGAUUUCCCAUUCUUUUCCAGAUGGCCACUCUUUCUUCACCGAUUCCGCGCUCCAUGGUGAUUUGGUUUGGGAGUCUCGAGUUCAUGUCUACUGGCUCCGGCUAUGACAUGAUCUUGCUCUCGAUCAAAGGACCGGGAGGAGCCCGCGUUGCGCCAACACGGAUGAGGGCCCCGAGACGUCCUCACCACCAUGCCUCCCCGCCCAAGAAGAGGCGUGGACAGCACCACCAUCGCCCUUCUGCCUCGCCACGACCGGCAGUCCGUGCCAGGCAGGAAACGGCACGAGAGCCGAUUGCCCCGCGCACCACGGGCACGACGGCUCAGCGCCGCGAGGAUCGCACGAUGACGGGAGGUGACGCACCACGCGCACUCUCCCCCACCGCCAGGCUACUUCCACACGGGCUGUACGCCUCAAGAGGAGCCUUGUUGUUCGGCCUGGACAAUGCCGCAGCGUCACUCGCCAGGGCGAUAUGCCCAAACGCCCAGACGUACGUGGAGAGACCAAUGGUCCUCCCACGCGACCCUGAAGCACGGCCAUGGGCAUCCGAGCUACCAGACUUCUCGUAGGUACAAGGCCUCCGCUGCCUAGGCCCUGGGCAGUACACGAUUACAUCCCUCAGGCAGCAGCUGCUGGAGGAAGGACGCGGAUGUUUCUACGCCGCCGAGCUAGACUCUAGCUCGGAAUCCGACAGCCACGCCCCUACUAGGGAGUGCUUCCAUAUCGACAGAGCGGUGGAAACCAACGACGAGACACAGGACGCCGUUGCAGGUGGGCGAGACCCUACAAUGAGAGAAGACCCCAGGACGCCUGGGAAUGACGGUCAGAUUGACCCCCCUCCACAAGAAGACAGAGCCGCGCAAAUUGCGCAGCUACGAGAGCUCAAGGCAAAGAUUGACGAGGAUCGCGAGUGCCUCGUCCUGCUCGAGCAAAUCCUCGAGCAGGACCUACCUUACCCACCUGGCGGAAGUGUCCGCAGACGAGCACGAGAGGUGCAACGACAGAUCGUCGGAGACGCAGAGCCUGAGCAGCCCGUCAGCCGUUUCCCUCGAGCAGGCCAGAACGUUGUGGCAGCAACAAUGCUGCUGCGAAACAUGCCAGAACCGUCGAACUCCCAAGCUCGACGCAUCCGAGACGAGGUGCAGACUCUGCUCCAGGUGGUGGCAGUUCAGCAAGCCGAAAGCUCGGCUUCUCGACGUCGAGGAGCUGCCACUGAAAAACGCAAUGAGCCAGCCCAAAACGAAAAAGAGGUGUCAGUCCACCAGCAGCCACCCCCUCAAGGGAAAAAGACCACGCUCGUUCUCCCCAUCGACAAUCAGCGUCGACACGACGCGCGACGCGACAUUGAAGAGAAUCGACGCCGUCGGUACUGGGACGCGGAAGAGCGCGGUUAUAGUGCCCAUCGCGGUGGGAGGUACGACAGCGAUGAGGACCGGAUGGCUCCAGAGCCACCAGGCCCACGGGUGUCCAGCAGGGCAAUCCGUAGCAUGCCGCUGCCCAGCCCGUUCCGACCCCCGACUAGCAUCGCAAAGUACAACGGUGAGACCAAACCAGAGCUGUGGCUGGCAGAGUUCAGGCUAGCCUAUCAGCUGGGAGGCGCCCGGGGAGACGAUCGAGCCAUCAUCAGACAGCUACCGCUCUUCCUCUCCGACACCGCCCGCAGGUGGCUCGAGGAGCUCCCAGCUGAUCAGAUCCACGACUGGGUCGAUCUGGUUAGAGUAUUCGAGGGUAACUUCAAGGGGACCUACAUACGACCUGGAAACUCGUGGGACCUCAGUAAGUGCAAGCAGAAUUCAGGAGAAACUCUUCGAGAGUACGCUCGACGCUUCUCGAAACAACGCAUCGAGCUGCCGCACAUCCCUGACCACGACGUCAUCCAGGCCUUUGUCUCCGGUACCACCAGUCGAGACUUGGUACGGGAGUUCGGCCGGAAUCGCCCUCAGACCGUCGACGAGCAGAUGGACGUGGUGGCCAACUACGUCGUAGGAGAAGAAGCGGUCGGCGCCUUCUUUAGCUGUGAAGGAAGGAAGGGCAAGCUGCCCGCCGACGAUGACGAGGGCCCCAGUCGAGGGCCCAAGAAGAACAAGAAGAAGAAGAAGACACGGCCGUUCCAACGGGAAGACCUCGAUGACGAUCUCGUCGCCGCCAUGGAACGCAAAAGGGCUCGAGGCCCUCCAGAGGCGGGCAUCUUUGAUAAGAUGCUAAAACAGCCGUGCUCUUACCAUAAAGGAGGAGCCAACCACAAGCUCGAGGACUGUCGUAUGCUGAAAAAGCAUUUCGACGGUCUGGGGUUCAAGAAGGACGCGUGCGACGACCCCAAGAAGGAGAAGAACGACGACAGAAACAACGACGGUUUCCCAGCCGUCCACGAUUGUUACAUGAUCUAUGGUGGCCCCUCGACGCAGUUGACCACAAGGCAGCGCAAGAGGGAAUGCCAUGAGGUCUUCGCGGCAAGAAUGGCGGUGCCCCAGUACCUCAGCUGGUCGAGCACCCCCAUCACCUUGAAUCGAGAGGACCAUCCCGACAAGGUAGUUGCCCCUGGCGUCUACCCGCUCGUCGUCGACCCCAUCAUCGUCAACACCCGGCUCUCAAAGGUGCUGAUGGACGGUGGCAGUAGCCUCAACAUCAUCUACCUCGAGACCCUCGACCUCCUCGGCAUCAACAGGGCGCGGCUCCAACCAAGCGCCGGAGGCUUCCACGGUGUCGUUCCUGGGAAAAAGGCGUUACCGGUAGGUCGAAUCGACCUACCGGUCUGUUUCGGUACGGUGGCCAAUUUCAGAAAGGAGACCCUCACCUUUGAAGUGGUGGGGUUCCGAGGCACGUACCACACCAACAUCGGGCGCCCGGGCUACGCCCAGUUCAUGGCUAUCCCCAACUACACCUACUUGAAGCUGAAGAUGCCCGGUCCCAAGAUCGUCAUCACCGUCAGCUCCUCCUUCGAGCACGCGUACGAAUGCGACGUCGAGUGCGUCGAGUAUGGGGAGGCGGUCGAGAAUUCCACUGAGCUCGCCUCGAAGCUCGAGGCCCUGGCCGCUGAGGCCCCAGAGCCCAAGCGCCACGCGGGCAGCUUCGAGCCGGCGGAAGGAACCAAGAAGAUCCCGCUCGGCCCCAACAACUCCGAUGGCAAGGCGCUGACGAUCAGCACCGACCUCGACCCCAAAUAGGAAGCUGUGCUCGUCGACUUUCUCCGUGCAAACGCCGACAUGUUUGCAUGGAGUCCCUUGGAUAUGCCUAGCAUACCAGGGGAAGUCGCCGAGCACUCCAUGAAAAUUCGAGCCGGUUCCAAGCCAGUGAAGCAACGGUUGCGCUGAUUCGACGAGGAGAAACGCAAGAUCAUUGGCGAGGAGAUCCAAAAGCUUUUGGUGGCCGGAUUCAUCAAGGAGGUUCACCAUCUCGACUGGUUAGCAAAUCCUGUGCUAGUUAAGAAAAAGAAUGGGAAAAUGAGGAUGUGUGUCGAUUACACAAGUUUAAACAAAGCAUGUCCGAAAGUUCCUUUUCCGUUACCUCGUAUCGAUCAAAUUGUUGAUUCAACUGCGGGAUGUGAGACCCUUUCUUUCCUUGAUGCAUAUUCUGGUUACCAUCAAAUAAAAAUGAAAGAGUCCGGCCAGCUCGCGACAUCUUUCAUCACACCUUUUGGGAUGUAUUCUUAUGUAACUGUUGGGUAUUUUAAACGCAAACAGACAAAUCCGUAAGCGCACGGAUACCGAUGUAGCUUUCACCCGGGAGUAUUCCAGAGUAUCGAUUUUCCACAGAGAACGUGAGUGUACUAAUCGAGAUCCAAAAUCGCCCAAGGAUAAAUAUAUAAUUAUUUUUGGUGGGAAGAGAGGAAGUUUCCUGAGAGUUCUCUAGUUGAUCUAAGAAUCAAGAAUUACUUCAAGAUUAUCUAUUUCGGGACAUCAGAACACUAACCACAGAAACAGAUGAGAAGGGGGCUAGGAAGCUUCGACUACGGUCCUACAAACACCGAUCCGAACGUGGUGGAAUACGUCGACCGUUAGGGCUGUCACUACCCUAAGGCUACCACAACAAUCCGCAGGAUUGGAUGCAAUUCCAGGUAAUUGCAAGACUAAACACCACGUCUAAUCUAUUAAUUACUACUCUAAUGUUUCAAAGAUUAGAGCACUUGAUGCAAGCGGGAAUCCAAUAAAUAACUUGAAUGUAAAUAAAAGUAAUUAGAGAACUCAAGAAUUAUGAAUUGAAGAACCUGGAGAACGAUGAAGAACAAACCAGUUGCUGCAAAAGAAUAAUGUUGAGGAAGAUCCGACAGAUCCGGCUCCUCCUUCGCUCUCCUCUUCUCUCUCCCUAUUUUCUAGAUUACAACUAGAACUAACUAGAACUAGAACUAGAGGAACUAGAACUAGAACUAGAUGAACUAGAACUAGAUCUAGAUGAACUAGAGGUAGAACUAGAAGAACUAGAGGGAUCCUCUCUAUUUGGAUGAAGAAUUGAAACCCUAGCUUUGAUUUUGUAGAAGAGGUAGGAUCUCCAGGGGCCAGGGUGUCUGGUUUUAUAGUCCCUUCAAGUGAAUCUGGGCCGUCGGAUCAAACCGACAUUAAUCGCACGGUUUUCCUUGAUCCUUUAGGUCGGUGGAGCAUAAUCCGCGAAACGUGUCCGAAUUGGUCUCUGGAAGUGGGCGGGCGCCCAAGGGACUAGGGCGGGCGCCCUGUGCCUGAGCCCUCUCGGCCUCCGCUUCAUUCCCGUGGCUUCUGGAGUCUUCUAGAUGGUAGAAAAUUGCGCAGCACGUUAAUAUCUCUAUGUAAACCCGACGUGUGGGCCUUUCUUCCGUAUUUCCUAAUAACCCCCUGCAGAAAUAGACAAACACCAAAACUCGUGGAAUUCUAUCAGAUAAAACCCUAAGUCUAGGUGUUAGUUGCAUUUAGAUCCUUUUCUAUGAUUAGUUGAUGCUUAAAUGUGAGCAUUAAGGACCGUCAACAGUAACGAUGCUGUUCGGGCUUUGAAACGCGGGAGCCACAUAUCAGCGUUGCAUGCUCCACUUGUUCGGCAAGCACAUAGGGUCGACGGUCGAGGCCUAUGUCGAUGACAUCGUCGUCAAGUCAAAGCAUCGGGGAGACCUGAUCCAGGACCUUGAAAUCGUUUUCAGCUGCUUGCGCGCCAACCAGAUCAAGUUCAACACUGAGAAGUGCGUUUUCGGCGUACCUCGAGGCAUGCUCCUGGGUUACAUUGUUUCCCAGCGCGGCAUCGAGGCUAACCCCGUGAAAGUCUCGGCCAUCACGAGAAUGGGGCCGAUCCAAGACGUCAAGGGCGUACAGAGAGUCACAGGAUGCCUAGCGGCGCUGAGUCGUUUUAUCUCGAGGUUGGGAGAAAAGGCGUUGCACUGUAUCGACUUCUGAAGAAAGUCGAGCGUUUCUCUUGGACCCCCGAGGCCAAGGAAGCGCUCGAUAACUUGAAGAAAACACUGACCUCUGCACCAGUGCUAGUCCUGCCUCAACUCGCAGAACCUCUACUUCUAAACGUCGCAUCGACGACCCAGGUCGUCAGCGCAGCAGUAGUGGUCGAGAGGCAGGAGGAGGGGCAUGCGCUGCCAGUCCAGAGGCCGGUCUAUUUCGUCAGCGAAGUACUCUCAGAGACCAAGGCACGCUACCCACAGAUCCAGAAGCUAAUCUACAUUGUAAUCCUUGCCCGACGCAAGCUGCAACACUACUUCCUUGGCCACCCCAUCACGGUGGUCUCGUCUUUUCCCUUGGGUGAGAUCAUCCAAAGUCGGGAAGCCACGGGAAGAAUCGCCAAGUGGUCGGUCAAACUCAUGAGUGAGACUCUCACUUAUGCGCCCCGUAAAGCUAUCAAGUCACAAGCCCUGGUGGAUUUCAUCGCGGAAUGGACAGACUCCCAGCUCCCCCCAGCUCAGGUUCAAUCAGAACUGUGGACGAUGCAUUUCGAUGGGUCUCUCAUGAAGACAGGAGCUGGGGCAGGCCUGCUAUUCAUCUCGCCCCUGGGCAUUCAUAUGAGGUACGUCAUCAGGCUACAUUUUGCCGCAUCCAACAAUGUUGAAGAGUACGAGGCCCUUGUCAAAGGUCUGAAGAUCGCCAUCGAGCUAGGAGUCCGACGCCUCGACGUUCGGGGUGACUCCCAGCUUAUCAUCGACCAAGUGAUGAAGACCUCGAGCUACCACGAACCGAAAAUGGAGGCGUACUGCAAGGAGGUCCGUCAACUCGAGGACAAGUUCCAUGGCCUCGAACUCGUCCACGUCGCCCGACGCUAUAACGAGGCGGCCGACGAACUCGCCUAGAUUGCGUCGACUCGAGGCACGGUGCCACCCGACGCGUUCUCAAGGGAUCUACACGAGCCAUCCGUCGACUUGGGCUCAGGGGCUGGUAUCGAAGCCGCUCCUACCCAGCAAGCCGGCACCGUCAAAGUGCUUCUAAUGGCAGCUGAGGUGAUGGAGGUGGAACAAUGGCCCAGUCGACCGUUUCAUUGGCGCACACCGUUCCUCGACUGCCUAAUCCGAUGCGAGCUACCAGAAGAUCGAUCCGAGGCCCGCCGAAUUGCUCGACGGGCCAAGUCAUACGUAAUCUAUGGCGAGAGCAAUGAGCUAUAUCGACGAAGCCCGACGGGGGUCUUGCAGCGUUGCAUCACCGUAUAAGAAGGCCGAAAACUCCUCGAGGAUCUACACUCGGGGGCUUGUGGCCACCACGCUGCUCCUCGUACCUUCGUAGGGAACGCCUUCCGACAAGGCUUCUACUGGCCAACGACCGUGUCUGACGCCAUCGAGCUCGUGCGCUCGUGCUGUGGAUGCCAGUUCUAUGCCAAGCAGACGCACCUGCCCGCCCACGCUCUCCAGAUGAUCCCUAUCACAAGGCCAUUUGCGGUAUGGGGGCUCGACUUAGUAGGGCCUCUACAAAAGGCAAAAGGGGGUAUACCCACUUGUUGGUGGCCAUCGACAAAUUCUCCAAAUGGAUCGAGGCUCGACCCAUCACCAACAUCCGAUCCGAGCAGGCCGUCCUUUUCUUCACCGACAUCAUCCACCGGUAUGGGAUUCCCAACGUCAUCAUCACUAACAACUGCACUCAGUUCACCGGUAAAAAGUUCUUGGACUUCUGCGAUCAGCAUCACAUCCGUGUGAACUGGUCUGCAGUGGCCCAUCCUCGAACUAACGGCCAGGUCGAGCGUGCCAACGGCAUGAUUUUGCAGGGUCUCAAACCAAGGAUCUACAAUCGCUUGAAGAAAUUCGGCAAGAAAUGGGUCGAGGAGCUUUCUUCGGUCCUAUGGAGCUUAAGGACGACGCCAAGCAGGGCCACGAAAUACACCCCAUUCUUCAUGGUCUAUGGCUCCGAGGCCGUGCUCCCAACGGACCUUGAGUAUGGAUCCCCUCAACUAAAAGCAUACAACGGGCAAUCAAAUAAGGAGACUCAAGAAAAUGCGGUCGACCAACUCGAGGAAGCUCGAGACAUGGCCCUCCUCAACUCUGCCAGAUACCAGUAGAAACUUCGACGCUACCACGACAAGCACGUGCGCAAGAGGGACUUGAACGUGGGCGACCUCGUCCUACGACGGCGACAAAGCAAUCAAGGACGCCACAAGCUGACUCCACAUUGGGAGGGCCCAUACGUAGUGGCCGAGGUCUUGAAGCCGGGAACAUACAAGCUCGCGGACGAAAAGGGGGCGAUCUUCCGUCCAUGCCGUAGAUCGUCCUCUUGAUCUCAGACUCAGGGUCGACGGGGGUGCGCAUCAUGCUGGCGAGCGCUACCACGCCGUCCGCCCGCCCCAACUCUGCUGGGAUCGCGGCGGGCGCCCUUGGACGGAGCCACGCCGAGGUCGGAGGGCUGAAAACCGUCAGACCCUCGUCCUAGUUCCCGGGCUCUUGCGGCGCCGAUAGUACCAGUUGGGGUGGACUGUGAGGAGGAGGCUCGAGCGGUUCCUCCGACGGCUGGCCCCCCUGCUGCUGCUCCUCAAGCUCCCGCGGCUCUUGUUGGCGGUCCUGCUCCUGCAGUUGCCGCCGCGUCUCCUCUUCACGCUCCUCCUCCUCCUCUUUCUUCUUCUGCUCCUCGAUGGAGCGAAGCCCGGCAGGCCAGGGCGUCCGCCUCGCAACGAGAGAAGUCUGGGCCUCCUCGUCCGUAGGCCGGGCAUCCCUCGAAGUCCCGGCGCCGCCGGACCCGUCACUUAUGGUGAUAGGAUCCCCCUCGACCCCCGAUCGGGGAGGCUCGGGGGCUCCCUCUUGUCCUUGGGACCGAGGCGCCUCAGCCUGUUUUGGCGACGACGGGGCCGACUCACCCUCCAGGGGGCGGGGCGGGGCACCCUCGGCGCCAGUCGGUGGUUGAGGGUCGGAGGAGCCUAUAAAACGAAAAACAAAGGUCAGUCAUUAUGAUGGUCGACGCGGAUCCCCUAACAACAGGAAUAAGCUGCUAACCUGAAUCCUUGGAGUCCGCUCCCACAUUGAGCCUUUUGGCCAACGAGGGUUGGGCCUGCUCGAGCAUCCGCUUCAACCUGGACGGGCACGAAAGAAGAUGUUACACGUAGACAACACAAGGAGAUAAAAGAGGAUGAAAAUCACAGCGUCGAAAAACUUACCCCACAGGGAGCACGGCCCGCCUGCCGGUGCCUCGAGCGGCAGGCCUCGAGCCACCCCGCGUCGAGGCUCCAGGCCCCUUGCGGGCAGGCGCAGGCCUUGGUCCAGCAUCUUCCGCCUGGCGAGCGACAGGGCUGGCGCUCCUGCGACCAGUCUCUCCCUUUUCGGAGGCUGUGGCGUAGCCACGGGUCAAGGGCCCCGUCGCCUGGGGCUUAACCCGGCCACCCGCCUUUGGUGCAGGGGGAGGUUGGGGGUGCGGGGUGGCCUGACUUGGCGUAGGCGUAGGGGGGGAGUCAACGCGGGAGCGGUGAGAUCCGCCUGGCCCCUCCUUUGGCGCUCCAGUCUGCGGGGCAUCGACGUCGCCUCGAGGCGGACCCUCGAGGAUCCGAUCGAGACGAGACGCCAUCCCCUCGGAGUCGUCGCUGUCGUUGUCGCUGUCACCACUGUCGUCCUCAUUGGGAGACUCUUCCUUAGGCUUCCCCCUUUGCCUGGACUUCGCUCGACGCGCCUCUAACGCUUGGCGGUCGAGAUUCUUCUUCUUUUCUUCUUUCUUUUUUGAGUCCUUUGUGGACUUCUGCUUUUCAGCGGACUGACGCCGCUUGUCACAGUCGACGUCGUCCUCCUUUACUAGAGGCCUCGAGGACCGGACAUCGAUCUGUUCCUGCCAGAACAAAGGAAAGCUGAAAAAGGGAUCGAAAGAAAUCCAGGAUCAAAGCUGUGUACGAGAAAAGAGCGUACCAGGUCGAUCGAGCCCGCAUCAAGCCUCAUGGGGAAGCCAUUGACGUGCUCCGGCUUAAAGUCGCCGGCAAUGGCCGCCCUGACCCGAGCCGCAACCUCAUCGUCCGACGGAGCCUCGUUGGACAUCCGUCACGCCUCGAGGUCCCGGGACGAGACGCCAGGACCCAUCUCGUCCAUCCGUAGCGGCCGAGACAUCAACGGGAGAACUCUCCGAUGAUGGACGGCCGAGAGGACGAGAGCGGUGGACAGGCCCUCCAAGCGCAGCUUCUUCAGGGCGUCGUGGAGGGGGUCAAGCCGCGACUGGUGAACUUGGACGACGCCGUACGUCCAGUUCUCCGGGCGCUCCGUGAUCAGGCGCCCGGUGUAGGUAGGUAGAAGAUCGUCGUCGUUCCUCAGGUAGAACCACUGGGAGUCCCAUCCGGCGUGGUUCGUCGACAAUCCCACCUGGAUAUACUCGCGCGGCCUCUCCGUCUUCCCCGUCUUCAGCACGAGGUUAAGGCACCCCGCUCGUACGGGCUUCCUCACGCCAGUAGUCCCGGUGGGGGCGUUGAAGAGCUCGCCCCUGUAGAGGUGGAGCCACAGCUCCCAGUGGGGCAUCAUCCCCAAAUAGCCCUCACACACAGCGGCAAAGACCGCCGCGACGGUGAUGGCAUUUGGGGAGAAGUGCUGGAGCUCCACCCCGUAAUGGUGGCAGAGUGCCCGCAUGAAGCGGCUCGGAGGAGCGCCCAGGCCGUGGCGGUGGAACUUGGCGAACGGAACCACGUAGCCCUUGGGCGGCCUGGGCUCCCUAUGGUCCGCCAGCAGUGCGAACCACUACAGCGAUGACAGUGAUGUACGGUGGCGCAGGAGUCCCUCCCUCUCGAGCUCUAGCAGCCAGCACUCCGUCAUCGAUGAAGGGCGCCAGUCGUCGGCAGCGACAAGUCUCACACGCAUCUUGGGCGGAAAGGAGGACGGAUUCGCUACCGCACUAGCGAGCGCGCGCGCACGAGGUGGCAAGAGAGCCAUGUUGGCGAGAAGGCUAAGGCACGAAUGAAGGCAGAAGGCAGAACGAAGAACAGCGGCAAGGCCAUGGGACAUUUAUAGGCAGCAACCCGCCAACGAACAGAUCCGAUAAAUGAGGUAACUCCCCCCAUAAAUGCGCCGCCUAACGGUCUUUUUCCUCCUCACAGACGGGGCGCUCCGAAUUCUGCGCCAACACGGUGCCACAACGGCUCUUGCCUGAAAAGACGCGCCCAACGGGCAGAAAGGCGAACCGCCACGGCCUCUUCCUUCCCUUGUAAGCCAAGGUACGCACCCACAAAAGCCUCGAGAGGUCGCAGGCUGGCCCGCCGAAAGGGUUCGGCAGCCAAUCUCGAGCACCAGAGUCAGGGGUGCCCAGCGAGUGGUCGAUAAUCAAGGCCCGCCUCGAGAACUCACUGGGGAUAUCCAAGGUAGGGUCGAGACAGUGGAGAGGAAUCCCCCCGACGGGAGGCAUCGAGCCACUGGACUCUAUCGAAUGAUCCCAGCAUCCCCGACCACGUCGACCCCGCUUUAUGAGAACGCCUCCGGGCUACAGCUGACCCCCUCGAAAGGGGCACAGGUUCUCACUUGGACUUCGCGUUAGGAGCUCAAUCUAAGGUAGAUGACGCUCGCUCUAUCGAGAGUACGUCGAAACUCCUGCGCAAAACGAGCCAAUCAGAACCUCCCACCACUGGUGUCGGCAGCGUUUCUGUGAAUUAGGCAAUAUAAAUCUCGAAGGAUUCAAAAACUCCUCCAAGGGCUCGGGGGCUACCCCCGCAGGGUCGCUCGCGCGCCCCCAUGGAAACUCGACCGCAGAAUAAAGCCUCUACUCGAGCGCCAGCACUCGAAUGGAGGCUCGGGGGCUACUGUCAAGGAUCUCAGUAAGGGGUAUCCCAACUGAUGUACAUAACGAGACUGCCCAUACACAGGUCGAGGCCCCCAACUCGACGCUCUAAUCAGUCACACGCACAGUCAUCGACGACCGCAGCUUCGAAGAUGGAAAAGGCGUCGAGCGAAUCGGUCAUGGCUCGAGCGCCAGCUACCGUCGAAUACGGAAACAGGCUCGAGCGAACCAGGAGGCGUCGAGCGCAAGGACACCGCCCGCCGCGUGACGCGCGCACGGGAACCAGGGCAUUUAAUGCGCCUAUCGCGUUCUCACCUAACACGCCAGUCACGGGAAGCGUGAUAAGGAACAGGCACCUGUCCCGUCAUUCUUUUUGCAGCCUUCCCCACCAAACAACCCAAAGAGUGUCAGGAUGCGGGAAGCAGGGAUGGAACGUCUAAUCAGGACCCCCUCGAGACAUCCAGGGUCAACGCUCUGGAUAGCAGGGCGUUACAUGGCGUCUGACCCUCGACCAGACAUGUUUCCUUCCUGGGGAAGGGUUGGACGUCAAAUGGCAACACAGCAACCACUCCGACGGAUCUGCCGCGAUGCCGUACAGGUGUGCAACUGGUGAACCAGUCCAAGACGGCACACAGAGUAGGAUAUCAGGGCAUGUGUAAUCAUCAUCAAGCUACCAGGACGGGACGGCUCGAGACCACGCCGGUACGGAGGCCUCAAGUAGGUCCGCGCGCCAUGCCUCUAUCGACCCCUACUCUGACAAAUAUGCUUGUACCCUGGGCUUCUCCUUGGAACUAUAAAAGGGGAAGCCCGAGAGCGAAUGCAGGGGGCAAUCACGCCACACUACACCCAUACGCAGUAGAACUUCCACCUUACUCCAUACCACACUUGUAUUCACCCCUGUACAAGCACUUAGGUGCAAAAUAAUACAAACGCUCCCCCCCACUGGACGUAGGGCCUUCUCUUGCCCGAACCAGGAUAAAUCUUUGUGUCUUUUUGCAUCACCAUCUGGAAAAGGGAAGCACGCACACAAAUUUACUCGUUGGUGUGACCCCCCGUGGGGAAAACACUGACACAUCUGGAAAAGAGAGCACGCAUUAGUUUUACUCGUUGGUGUGACCCCUCGGGGGGAAACCACCGACAGAGACCAUCUCGAGUGGUCAAGACGAGCUUAGGUGAUACGCCCCAGGUAGCAGUGGAAUGGGCGUCCUGAGAUGCUCAUCGGACUUCUAGAGUGGGAGGAUCCCCGGCAUCACUGUCAGAGGUCCUUAGGACAAUGACAGGUGUCGGUGGGCCCAAACACUUAGGAGGUUCUGCCACAUUUAUUUGAUGGAAAAUUACAUAUUCCUACAAAACAAGUGAGGACACCAAAACUCGUGGAACUCGUUAGAAUCAAACCCUACAACUAUGCUUUAUGGAUGAUAUCAUGUUAUAUUGAGCAAUAGUUGAUGGUAUAAAAUAGGCAUUAAGGACCGCCAACAAAGGGUAGAUAUAUUUUGGAAAGUGUUGUAGCUGCUCAUGAGGCUUAUUGAACUAUUCUGACUCAGGACUCACCCAUUUUACCUUUCACCAUGGGGCUUAUAGCUAUCACUUUGGUCUUCGAUAGUUGAAAGAUAGAACAGUUUAGUCGAGCACUAUGCUACUCGCUCUUUGAUCAACUAUUAUUCUAGAGUUUUGCAAUAUUUUCAAAUAAAACUUAGAGUUUCCUAACACAUAAACAAUAAAGAUGCAACUACCAAUGCAGUUACGAAAAAUAAAUAUACUUAAAGGAAAAUGCAGAAAAAUACCAAGUUACCUCUUGGCGUGGCGUUCGGUGAUUUUAAGUCCUCCGAACAGGACCUCUUACCAUGUUAAUUCUUAGGUGCUUUUUCUGGUCCCAAAGGUGGAGACCAUGAGAGUUGCACCUCUUGAGAUGGUGUCACCUAUGUUUAUUGCUUCUCCAAUGGGUUGAAGUUAAGCACUAGUUCUAGGAGCUAGCAACAUCUUCGCUCAGUGUGCAUGUUCAUAGGUCUAGUAUCUUCGCUCGGGGUAGAUAUUGAACUAUUCUGACUCACGACUCACCCAUUUUACCUUUCACCAUAGGGCUUAUAGCUAUCACUUUGGUCUUGGGUAGUUGAAAGAUAGAACAGUUUAGUCGAGCACUAUGCUACCCGCUCUUUGAUCAACUAUUAUUCUAGAGUUUUGCAAGAUUUUCAAAUAAAACUUAGAGUUUCCUUGUAUGACACUUUCCAGUCUCUCAUAUGUGGUAUUCUUUUAUCCUCUCCAAGGCAAGUGAGUAUGCCUUCUCUCUGCUCUCAGAAUAUGUGGUAUUUGUAUCACUAAGACAUAGUUGCCUUCUCUCUCUCACCCUGCUUCUAAUUGGCUUAUGUGGAGCUCGUAGGUCGGAAAGACAAUUCAAACCUACUUGCAUGUAUUGCAUAAUUAAACCAUGGAUCUAGAGAAACUAAUUAUACAAUCAAGUCACAUGUGCAUGUGAGUGUAGUGAAUGAUAAGAAUGAAAGUAGUAAUGAGGGGUGAUAACUGAUGGCGAAUAUCUUAUUCUACAAUUGCACCUUGGGGAUAACAUACUUCCUUAAUCUGAGAACAAGGAUUUGGUUCUCUUUCUUUUCUUUUGCAUUGGGACUUUUGUCCUCUUUCUUUCUUUUUCUUUUUUUCUCUUUUUUCCUCUUUUUUGAAAGAUCAGCCAUCCCUUUUAAUUCAAUGAUAAUAGUAGGGAGUAUCAAAUGGGAUAACUAGGGCUUUAUUGGAUAAGUAGAAUAAGACAUUGAAUAUUUUUGGGUGUCUUCUCCCAGUGUAGGAGUAGAACAUUUUCUAUGUGAAUGUGGAUUGUGUGUGGGUGAAUGAAGGAAUGCGUACUCCUAGGGUAGGAGCAGCGUAGGUGUGUCUCCAAGAUAGAAACAACAUAGAGUGUAGUGCGUAUAUGUGGGUGGUACUUCUAGGAACAGAAGUAGCACAUAGUGAAUGUGGUGGAUGAAAGUGGUUGCAUACUUCUGAGGACAGAAGUAGCUAAGACCAAUAGAUGAAGAGCACAUAAUAAUGACUUCAACCGCAUGACUAAUCCCAUAGGGUCUACACAGCUUAACUACUCUCAAUGCUUAUAGGUUGAAAUAUAAGUGGAGGUUUUCCUAAUCUAGAAAGCAUGAGUAAUUUGCUAUGGUGGGAAUUUUAGAACUCUUGUCAUAAAGGAACUCAUAAUGUAGCAAUUUAAGAUUUUCAAAAUAAAAUUCUCUAGAAUUCUAGCAUCUCUAGGAGCAAGAUUGAUAGCAGCUCAGAACCUUCACAUAUCAUAUCCGUCAACUAUCUAGACUUAGAACAAUCAUUUGCUACCCACAGGUUUUAGGCUUAUAGAAAAUCUUAAGUCUAAACAGUUAAGCCUAAAACUCAAGAGAGUACAAGAUUGAAAACAAGGUACUUGUAAGGAAUUACGGCAGAGCAACUAUUCAUCAUCUCCAUAUAAGAGUUAAUUCUAGAGGUUCAUCUUAACAGAUUCAUAAAGAGAUCUCCUAGCAAGAUUAAUUAUGAAAGAUAAAACAUUUACUGGGUUUCUAAGUUUAUUCAUCUUUUUAUCUUGUCAUAAUGCACUAGGAAUAAAUAGAUAAGUGAGUAAGGGAUACUUAGCUCGGUGUACGGGGGUUGCUCUCCCCAAGCUGGAUGUGAUAUUGCAGACGGGCAGUGAAGACAUACUCGUCCUCCUAGAGUAUCGUAGGUACUUGCUAUCAGAAACAACACUUGCCUCAUGCGAACAGUACUCCGACAGGGCACAAGACGUCCUUCUGCCUGUUAGUUCUUUUUGAUCCUUUGAAGCCUAUGAAGCACAAAUAGACAACAAAACUUGUGGAACUAAUUAAGCGUUAGUAAUAAACCUCUAAGCUUUGGGAGUCUAGAACUUUCUUAUACCCAUUUAUAUUUUAGGAAGAUCAAUAUAUUUUAUUUAUUUAUUAUAGUAUUUAUAUUUAUAGUAUGCAGGUAGGAAAAUAAAUAUGCUAAAACUUAUUUUUGUGCCACCACAGUAGAUAAGUACGUAAGCUGUUGCAUCUCAUAUUAAAUACAUGGGGCUUAGUAGCUUUCGAAAUGCAAUGCAAUACAUAUUUAUUUUUUCUUUUCUAACACAAAAACAAUAAAGAUGCAACUACUAAUGCAGUUACGAAAAGUAAAUAUACUUAAAGGAAAAUGCAGAAAAAUACCAAGUUACCUCUUGGCGUGGCGUUCGGUGAUUUUAAGUGCUCUGAAUAGGACCUCUUACCAUGUUAAUUCUUAGGUGCUUUAUCUGGUCCCAAAGGUGGAGACCAUGAUAGUUGCACCUCUUGAGAUGGUGUCACCUAUGUUUAUUGCUUCUCCAAUGGGUUGAAGUCAAGCACUAGUUCUAGGAGCUAGCAACAUCUUCGCUUAGUGUGCAUGUUGAUAGGUCUAGGACCUUCACUUGUAGGAUUCUCGAGGAGUUGACUAAAGUGUGUCCUGCUCAUAGAGACAAGAGAGAGAUCAAGUGCAUGGGCUCUGUUGAUGAGAAAACACCAACAUAACCAAUAGGUUUAUUCAUUAAACUCUAGCCUUUGGCACAUUGAACGAGAUAAAGUUGAUGUUUAUGUGUUUUGCUCAAUCUAAACAUGGAUGAUAGGAACAAAUGAUUAGCAAGCUUGUAGCAUUAAAACACUUGGCCGAUCAGAUUAUUCAAUAUUAUGGAAGGAUGGUCUACCUAUGCAUUUAAAUUCAUAAUUAUGACUAUCCUCUUCCAGAGAUAGGAUGUGCAAUAUUUUAGAUCAUUGAAUUAAAAACUACAAGUUCAAGAAAGUGAUUCUUAGGAACAAGCAUAAAGAACUAAACAUGAUGAGCUAAUUAGAUUGGAUCAAAUGAGAUUGUAACUCAAAGCAUGUUUAACUCACUACUUAUGUGAAUGCCAAAAUCAAGAAGGAUAUUUUGGAAGAAAUGAUCACUUGAGAUGUUACAUUUAGUAUUGAAGCAUGUUGAAGCCGUAACAUCUUGUGGAAACUUUCCUUGCUUGGCUAUCUUCUCUCCUUUGUUGUACUCCUUUCUUGCCUGUUGACACCGUUUUUGGACACAAAUCGAAAUAAUCAAUGAGGCUUGAAUCGGCAGUCAGAGAGGUGAUGUGUUCGGCUGAUAAGAAGAUUGCCGAUAGCCGAUGAUGCCGAUGAUAGAACAAUAGGAGAGAAAUGUUGCAAAGUCUAGUGGUAGUUGCCGAUCAUUGCUGAUUACUAAUGAUUACCGAUACCGAUGAGGAAAGGUGUGGGAAUUGUUAAAAGAGAUAUAGGGCGUGUGCCGAUGAAAACGAUGGUGGUAUGCCGAUCACUAGGACGGAUUGGUAGUUAUUUCCAUAUUUGUUAGGGUCUAUUUUAUGUACGAGUUCUGUUUGAUUUGGAAUUAAAUCCUAGUCGUAUACGGUUGUAAGAGGACAAUCAAUCAAUAUCAUACACAAGUUUUACAUCUACUAUUACAUCUACUUUUUCGACGACUUCGUCAACUUGCACGUUUUCUUUUCUUUACAAGUUUUUAAGGAUUCAUCGAGCAAUACUCAGUGAAUUCUCAAGUUCUGCAUGAGUACCUCUUGGCCAUGGCAUCCGGGCGCAUCGCUGUUGUCGGGACAAAAGUAUUCAAGUUAUCACCUUUGUCGAUUACUAGGACAAAUCGGUUGGCACGCCUCCACGUUUUUGCAUCAACACAUCUUUUGGCAUGCCCAGUGGGACAAAUCUAUCAACAAAAUCAACAUGGCUACUGCUGAUCUCUACACGGAGAAUGUCAUUGCUGUCACAGAAGCUGAUCUCAUGGACGAGCAGAAGUAGGCUAUGCCAAGGGAUAUGGAGGAGUACAAGCAGCUCUACUUAAAAUCCUUCAUUGUCAACAGGAGAGGUGAAGUAAUCCAGAAGCAAGAGCUGCCGAGGCAUUGGCAGGUUACUUUCGACGCCAAUCCUAGUAAAUUGCAAGACGUGGUUGACAGUGCUAUUAAUCGUGCUUUGAUCAAUCAAUCCAGUGUGCUGUCCAAUACUGUUUACAAUGUUGUGGCUAGAGCUUUUAAAGAAGGACAGACACCACCACUAUAUGUUGCCCCGGCCUAUCAUCAGCCAGGGUUGUCAUCGGUUACGGCUCCAUCAACUCCUCCGGCCGUUGCGGGUACAGAAGCUACUUAUCCUCUAAGCACAUUAGGGCUAACUAAUGGGCAGUCUACACCGAUGAGACCUAAUCCAAUGACAUUAGAGGGAUGGGUUCAGCUUAACAUAGAUCUGUCGGCAUCGGCAAUGUUAGGAUCUGUAUUUUAGAAUUGUCAAGUUCCUCCCAAUUGAUGGAGAUAUGGUAUGCCUCCGGAGUUUUUUGCAAAUAGUUUUGGAACUUCUCAGGUGACUGAUUUAGCAGGAAAAGCUCCUAUGACAUCGGCACCUCCAGUUUUGCCGAUGCGUCAAAUUCCUCAGUAUUCUACAGUUACUACUGCAAGGCCUGUUACUGGGAAUUUUCAAAUGCCAAUGUUCCAGAUGCCUAAUACAAAUUCAUUAGUAGCUCUAUUGCCGAUGCAACAUAGGUUCAUGACUCAGACAGGGUAUGUCAACCUAAUAGUGUCAGCUAAUUAUCAGCCAUCGGCAAGACCUGUGCCGAUGAAUGCUAACAAUGGAUGGACAGGGUAGUUUGUCUUUCCACAUGUGACACAGUAGAAUCAUCAAGUUGUGGGAUUCCAGCAAGGUUAGAUGCAAGUCGGUUUUCAGAAUCAAGGACCAGCCAAUCAGCUGAUGAAUCUUGCUCAGCAGAUUGGUGGCUAGCAAGCUAUGGCCAACGUUAUGUUUCCUGGAGAACGUGCACCUCACAGACACAUGGAAGCUUAUCAGCAGGUGCUAGAAGUUCAACCCGCACAUCAGCAGGAUGCUGAUGCCUAUUGGGCCGAUUAGAUAGCAUAAGUUAUGAGGGAUCAGUUUGGAAUAAAACCAAAGGUCAACAAUUAUUCUUAUCGAGCACCAUAUCCUCUUGCAUAUGAUUUGAUUCCACUUCCAAAUCGGUACAAGGUGCCAGAUUUUACUAAAUUCCCUAGACAAGAUGAUACGUCAACUAUGGAACAUGUUAAUCGGUUCAUCAUCCAGUGUGGAGAAGCUGCCAACAGAGAUGAAUUAAGAGUUCUUUUGUUUUCAUCAUCUUUGUCAGGAUCGGCAUUCACUUGGUUUAUUUCACUACCUCCGAACUCAGUUGUCACAUGGGCUGAUCUAGAGAAGCAGUUCACAAAUAGUUCUUUUCUGGGGUUCAUGAGAAAAAGAUUACCGAUUUAGUCAGGUUGAGGCAACAUAAUGACGAAUUGGUGGAGAGUUUUGUGCAGAGGCUGAGAGAUGUGAAGAACAAGUGUUAUAGCCUGGUUCUAGAUGAUCGGCAGUUGGCCGAUCUGGCUUUCCAAGGGUUGCUGCGACAUAUCAAAGAUAAAUAUGCUUCUCAAGAGUUUGAGAGUUUGAGUCAUUUGGUGCAGAGAAUUUCUGAUCAGGAUAUCAAGGCUUAUGAGCCUAGAAAAGCCUGGAAUAAAAAGUGUCAUUUGUUGACGAGGCAAUGAGUUCUGAUUCAGAUGAAGAACCUGUCAUCGGCUUAGAAGAGUGGGUAAAAAAUAAAAAGUCAAUGUCCUGUCCUUUUGGUCAAAAGGAACCAGAGAAGUUUGCUUUUGAUAUCACCAAGGCCUAUAGGAUAUUUGAUUUCUUGCUUCAACUGGGGCAGAUUAAAUUGUCACCUAAUCGUGUGAUCCCAUCAGUAGAGGAGUUGAAGAAAAUCAAGUAUUGCAAAUGGCAUAAUGCAACGUCACAUAGCACAAAAGAGUGCAAGGUGUUUAGGCAACAAUUCCAAUUGUCUAUAGAAUCUGGGAGGAUUAAGUUUGAUAAUUCCAAAUAUCAGAAGACGAUGAAAAUUGAUCAACACCCUUUCCCUGCAAACAUGUUGGACGCCAAAGGUAAGACUAAGGUCUUAACAUCGGAAACAGCUGAAAAGAACGCAUCAGUGCAUCCUCAGCAUCAAGUAACCACCAAUGUGCCAAAGGCAAAGGUUUGAUCAAGGAGGGUAGCAGCUCUGGGCGGCCUCCUUGCUCUGGCAUUGUGAUUAAUCAUAGGUGAUAUCGGGAGACCUGGCAGCAACGUGAGGAUCAGUAUCGACGUCAGCGAGAGGAAAGGGAGCGAGAAGAAUGGAAUCGGCAUAAAGAUCACUGGAAUUGCCCGUUCCUUGUUCAUUGUUGGGAGCAAAAUAUCAAAUUACUGACUGUUAGAGAUUGUCCUGAGUGCAAUGGUUAUCAUCGGUAUGAUCGGUCAGAUCGACGAUUCUAGAAUAAUGAUCGACGCUUUAAUGAGCCAAUCAGGGGGAGGGUAUCAGUUCAUGAUAGGCUGGGGGGCAGGCUUAGUGUGCAUGACAGGCUUGGUGAACGUGUUGGUCAUUUUCCAGGGAACCAAGAGGAACUUGAAGAAAUGGCAAAUGCACGGGUUCCCGAUGAAUUUAUAUUUUACAGAGAUGCUAAUACUCAUCGGGUAGAGUCAAGGGAAGUUCGCUUUCAGCCAAUGUAGAAAAAAAGCUUCCCUAAUGGUGUCCAGAAGGGUUAACAAGGACGCAAAAGAGAAGGAUGCAGCGAGAACGUCAAGAAGAUUUAGGUAGGGAAGAAAAUUCUUCUAAGUCUAGGAAUCGGCAGCAAUCGGGCCGCAAGGGGAAAGGACCAUUGGCAGACGUUAACAUGGUAUUUAUGUUGCCGAUGGAAUUUCUUGCACCCUUUAGUGAUAAUGAAGAAAUAAGUCUCCCUGAUCAAAUAGCUCAGUUGGCACUUGAUCCAAUGACGGCUAUUUUUGAGAAACCUUCUCAUGAUGAAAGGCAGCAUCUUAAAGCUUUGUUUGUCAAAGGCCGGGUUGAUGGGCAGCCGAUUUCCAAAACACUUAUUGAUCGGGGAGCUGCAAUUAACAUUAUGCCAUAUACAGUGUAUCGGAAGCUUGGCAAAGGAGAUGAGGAUUUGACCUAAACCGAUAUGAUGUUAAAAUAUUUUGAAGGAAAUGUGUCUCUAGUUAAGGGAGCUAUAUGUGUUGUGUUGACCAUCGGUAGCAAAACCUUGCCGACGACCUUCUUUGUUAUCAGUCGAAAAGGUGCAUAUAAUUUACUUCUGGGAGAGAUUGGAUUCAUGUCAAUUGCUGCAUUCCUCCUACAAUGCAUCAAUGCCUUGUUCAUUGGGUAGGUGACAAAAUUGAGAUUGUCUCAGGAGAUUCUUCAUAUAUCAUUGCAUCAGCGGAAUCAGAUACCUAUGAGCGGACCAGAUGCAUAUUAGGAGAGGAUUGGGAGAAAGAUUUUCUCAAGGUCGCCGAUUAUGAAGUUCCACCGAUCCAAGCAGUCGGUUCUGAUGAAGAGUUUUAAUGGAUAGGUUCACGGAUGAUGGAAAGUUAGGACAGGGGUUUACAUCGACUAAUGAUUUAAUAGUAGUAGAUAUAGGAAGUGGUGAUAGCCCAAGGCCUACCUUUAUUAGUGCUAAGUUAGAUUCUGAAUGUAAGCAGCAAUUAACUGAUUUGUUAAAAGAAUAUAAAGGUUGCUUUGCUUGGGAUUAUACCGAGACGCCUGGUUUAGACUGAUCAAUUGUCGAACGUCGGUUGCCUAUUAAGUCUGGAUUUCGGCCGUAUGAGCAACCAGCACGCCGAUGUAAUCCUAAUAUUCUUCCUGAUAUUAAGGACGAAAUAACCAAACUUAUUGAAGCUAAGUUUCUUCAGCAAUGUCGGUAUGCCGAAUGGAUUUCUAAUGUUGUUCCUAUCUACAAAAAGAAUGGAAAACUUUGUGUUUGCAUCGACUUUAGAAAUCUCGAUAAAGCUACGCUGAUAGAUGGUUAUCCAAUACCAAUUGUGGAUUUGUUGGUUGAUGCUGUAGCUGGACAUCAAAUUAUUAGUUUCAUGGAUGGUAAUUCAUGGCUGAAGAGGAUAUUUCCAAGACUACAUUUAGAUGUCAUGGUCAUGUUGGAUUUUUUGAAUGAUAGUCAUGAUUUUUGGCUUGAAAAAUGCUGGUGCUACUUCAGAGGGCCAUGAAUUUUAUUUUCCAUGAGUUCAUCGGCAAGUUGGUAGAAAUCUAUAUUGAUGAUGUGGUGGUUAAUUCUGGAGAUUUCAUAAAACAUCUAGCUGAUUUGCAAAAAGUGUUGGAAUGCACAAGGAAACAUUGUUUGAAGAUGAACCCUAAUAAAUGUGCAUUUGGUGUAUCGGCAGGUCAGUUUCUAGGUUUCAUGGUGCAUCAGAGAGGGAUUGAAAUUAGUAGGAGGUCCAUUGAUGCGAUCGGCAAUGUAGUUGCUCCUACCAAUAAAACUAAACUUCAAUCAUUGAUCGGCAAGAUUAAUUUUAUCAGACGAUUUAUAUCUAAUUUGUCGGGUAAGAUUCGUGCUUUCAGCCCUUUGCUUAAACUAAAAGCCCAUCAAGAGUUUGUGUGGGGUAAAGAGCAACAAUUAGCCUUGAAUGAAGUCAAGAAUUAUUUGGCAAAUCCUCCAGCCUUGGUUCCACCUCAGCAUGGAAAGCCCUUCAGAUUAUAUUUAUCUACCAAUGAUGCGAUCAUCGGCUCAGCUCUCAUUCAAGAAUUUGAAGGGAAAGAGCAUGUAAUUUACUAUCUGAGUAAAAGAUUGGUGGAUGCUGAGACAAGGUAUUCGGCAAUUGAGAAGUUAUGCUUAUGCUUAUACUUUUCUUGUGUCAAAUUGAGACAUUACUUGCUAUCGGUCGAAUGCACAGUCGUAUGCAAAGAUGACGUAGUCAGAUACAUGUUCUCAAUGCCGAUUAUGAGUGGUAGAAUCAGCAAAUGGAUACUAGCAUUAUCGGAGUUUGACUUACGUUGUGAAUCGGCUAAGGCAGUUAAAGUGCAGAUCAUGGCCGAUUUUGUAACUCAGCAUUGUGGUGUAGUGGAUGCUCUGGAAAUUGUUCCUUAGACACUCUUCUUUGAUGGAUCUACAUGUGAUCGGGGAGUGGGUAUUGGUAUAGUAUUGAUUUCUCCUCGAGGAAAGAAAUAUGAGUUUUCUUUACCGAUUGUUGUUACAUCGACAAACAAUCAAGCUGAGUACCAAGCUCUAAUCAAAGGGUUAGAAUUAUUAAAGGAAGUUAAUGUCGAUGCUGUCGAAAUCUUCGGUGAUUCUAUGCUUGUUAUAAAUCAGUUGGCUAGAACUUAUGAAUGCCGAAGUGAAGUUUUGAUAGCUCAUUAAGAAAGGUGUGUACAAUUAUUGAAAGGAUUCAGGGAUUUCCGAUUAGAGCAUAUUUCUCGAUUGCAUAAUGAAGAAGCUAACUGAUUGGCUCAACAUGCCUUGGGGUAUCAACCCAUCUUGGAAAUAUUAUCGGCAGUCAGUGCCGAUGAUUCGAGAAAAGAAAUUAUUGAUUAUUUAAAAGAUCCAUCUAGAAAAGUUGAGCGGCAUGUUAGGUUUCAAGCUACCAAGUAUGUACUCCUUGAAGAAGAAUUAUAUUAUCAUACAAUAGAUGGAGUUUUGCUUAAAUGCUUAGGUGAUGAUGAAUCCAAAAGCUUGAUGGGUGAAAUUCAUGAGGGAGUAUGUGGAGCACAUCAAUCAGCUUUUAAGAUGAAGUGGAUGAUUAGAAGGAACGGAUAUUAUUGGCCGACUAUACUUGAGGAUUGUUUCAAGUAAUUCAAAGGGUGUCAAGGAUGUCAGAAGUUUGGCAAUAUUCAAAGGGCACCGCAUCGGCUAUGAAUCCUAUUAUUAAACCUUGGCUGUUCCGGGGUUGGGCUAUUGAUCUCAUCGGUCAAAUUUAUCCGCCAUCGAGUAAAGGGCAUAAGUUUAUCCUUGUUGCCGCUGAUUAUUUCACUAAAUGGGUUGAGGCUAUUCCUUUGAAGAAAGUGACAUCGGCCAACAUGAUUGAUUUUGUGAAGGAGCACAUUAUUUACCGAUUUGGCAUUCCCCAAACAAUCACUACCGAUCUGGGUACUGUAUUUACGUCAGGGGAGUUUGAUGAGUUUGCCAUCGGUAUAGGGAUUAAAGUGUUGAAUUCUUCUCCUUACUAUGCUCAAGCCAAUGGAUAGGCCGAGGCUUCUAACAAAGGAAUUAUUACACUCAUUAAGCGAAAGAUUGAGGAGAAUCCCAGACGAUGGCAUACUCUGUUAAAUGAAGCCUUGUGGUCAUAUCAAAUGGCAUGUCAUGGUUCGACGAAAAUGUCACCUUAUCAACUGGUGUAUGGACAUGAUGUAGUACUACCUUAGGAAAUUAAAACUAGUUCUAGGCGAAUGUUUUCUCAGGAUCAGUUAACUGCUGUUGACUAUGCUACUUUGAUGAAAGAUGAGUUGGAUGCUUUAGCAGGCAUCGGAUAAGAGCUCUAAUUAGCGUAGAGGAGAAUAAAAAAAGAGUGGCUAAAUGGUAUGACAAAAAGGUAAAGGCCAAGGAGUUUGCCGAUGGGGAUUUGGUGUGGAAGCUAAUUCUACCGAUUGGGACUAAAAGCUUAAAAUUUGGAAAAUGGUCUCCUAAUUGAUAGGGUCCUUAUCGGAUAAAUCGAUCUACCCAUGGCAAUGCUUAUAUUUUAGAAACUCUCGAAGGAAUUGAAUUUCCCUGAGAAUUGAAUGGAAAAUAUUUAAAGAGAUACUACCCUAGUAUCUGGACUGAUGCAUAAAAGUUUAAGUGCCGAUAACAAUCCUAUUGGCAGGACAAAAUAUCAAGUGUAUCUGGGGCCAUACAUAAAGAGUUUAAGUGCCGAUAAUAGUCCUAUCGGCUGGACCAAAAGAUUAAAAUUUUUUGAGAAAGAAGUUAAACAGGCCGCCGAUGAAGAGUUUAUAGGUUCAGCAUGGUUUGGAUGGCCGAUAUUGCACGCAGAUGAGUCUGGUUGGCCUCCUCUAUCUCUUGGGUGUCUUCAUCGGCAAAACCUUCCACUGGCUUCAGCUUCUUCUUCAUGUGCAGCGCAUUGCGAGCGUGGACAUCUCUUUCUUGCUGAAGAUUCUUGAGCGCAUCGGGCAGUUGGCUUUUGUUGACAGUCCUUAACUAUCAAAUUUAAUUAUCGAAUAAACAAAGAAAAGGAUCCAAAUGAAAUCAACAUCCAGACUUAGGGUUUUAUCUAACAGAAUUCCACGAGUUUUGGUGUUUGUCUAUUUCUGCAGGGGGUUAUCAGGAAAUACGGAAGAAAGGCUCACACGUCGGGAUUACAUAGAGAUAUUAACAUACCGCGCAAUUAUCUUACAUCUAGAAGAUUUUAGAAGCCACGGGAAUGAAGCGAAGGCAGAACGGAGCCUGGCCUAGGGCGCCCGCAAUAGGGACCAGAGCGCCCGCCCACCUUUGGAGUCCGAUCAGGACUCUCUUUCGGGAUCACGCUCCACCGUCCUAAAGGAUCAAGGAUAACCGUUCAAUCAAUGUCGGUUUGAUCUGAUGACCCAUAUUCACUUGGAAGGACUAUAAAACCAGACCCCCUAGCCCCUGGAGGAGGGAGCCUCUCAACCCUAAUUCAUUAUUCAUCAAGGGAGAAGAAGCCUCUGAUCCAGCCUAGAGCCACCACAUCAAUUAGACAUCUAGAUCAGCAUAGCUACGUAGGAUUAGAACUAGAAGGAGUCAAUCUUCGGUUGAUUUUCGGAUCUGUCAAGAGGAUUCUUAGUAAUUCUCUAUUGUUCUUCAAUUGUUCAUCUUUGUUCUUCGAUAUUAUGAAUAUGACUUUGUUCUACUUCAAUAUAUUGAUUAUGACUUUGCUCUACUUGUUUAUAUUCGCAAUUAUAUUGUUCUUAGUUUAUCAUAGUUAUAUACUUAGCUUAGUUAGAUUGGAUCUAUAUACAUGUUUAGGAUCGUUUAACGUUUAUCUAUCGGAUCCAUGGCUAAAUGAUAGAUAUUGUGUAGGCGUGGUGCUUAUAACGUAUUUAUCUGUGAUUGUACCCUAUAUACCAGAUCGCGGGGUAGUUCGUGGUAGUGACAGCUCCAUUGAUUCUUAUAUAGUCCCCCUCUCGUGUAUUGGGCUAGCAGAGCAACAUUAUUACAGGGGAGUGAUUACGAUGUUUCUCAUAUUCCUUGCUAAUAUCACUAUGCAUGGGCGUAGUCCUGUCUCACAAUGAUUGCUAAGUAUAAUUGCACUAACUAUGAUAUGCUAGACUGUAUAGUUAAGAAUAACUUAGGAAAUAUUCUUGUAGUUCGUUCUAAUUCCAUGCUAAUGACUUGCUAGAAUAUCUAAUUGAGGUGCUUAUCAUAUUUAUAUGUGGCUAAGUUAUGCUGAUCAGAUUAAUUAUCUUUGUCACUAUUCAUUACUUUAUAUCCUUUAUGUGACACUUAUCCCUAUGUGAAAGAGUUAGCUAAAUGUUCUCAAUUAUACAUGCAAUGAUAGAUACUCAAUCUUAUAUUCCAUUCUAUAAUCAACAUUGAUGGUUACUAAUCCCUUCCCAGUGGUAAAAAUAUAAAUAACGAUACCUGGAAUAUCUCCCGGUUAAAAUGCUACAUCAGUAUUAAUCUGUGCGCUUGCAGAUCCCAUUCAUUAUUUAUUUAGAUGAGCAAUUGCAUAUUUCAAUACCACGUCUCUCAUGUUAUGCUCGGGAUGACAACUUGGCUUAAGUGGUAUGAGGGAUAGGUUUGGCAUUUUUGGCACCGUUAUCAGAAUUAUAAAACUAAGUCUACUUUUCGUAAUGACGUUAAGAAUACCCAACAAGCAUUUUUGGCGCCAUUGCCGGAGAAGGUUGAUUACUAAUCAGGAAUGAAUAUGGAUUUUGAGUUAUCAUUCGCAUCACUAAUAUGAUUGAGCUUAUCAAUUCUUUCAUACAGUUUUACCCCGAUAUUUUUCUAUUUUAUCUUAUGCAGGGUAAUGUAUGAAUAAAAGACAUCUUCCAGGAAAUUUUGUUGACAAUCCCGAAGCAUUAUUCAGAACAACAAGAGCCAAGCUCAAGAAGAGAUCAUCAACACUUCAGCAAAAAGCUUCAUCCAAUCAAGAAGAUCACCAGCCAUGGCGAACAAAUCGAUCCGUGAGUUCUCAGCUCCCACUACAGACAACAUCCGUACUGGACCUGCUGCAGAGAUCGAUGGCAACUUUGAGCUCAAGCCUGGACUUAUCGACAUGGUGCAAUCCAACCAGUUCUGUGGGAAGGCACACGAAGAUGCUAGUGCUCAUCUCCAACACUUCCUGGAGAUUUGCAACACAUUCACUAUAUCAGGAGUCCCCAGAGAUGCUAUACUACUUCGCCUUUUCCCAUUCUCACUGUUAGGAAUAGCGAAGCAAUGGUUCUACGCUACAAAUGAGAAGAAUACUACGUGGGCACUCUGCUCCACGAAGUUUCUGGCUAGGUUCUUUCCCAUGGGCAAGACCAAUGCUCUCCGUGGGAAGAUUACAAGUUUUCAGCAACAACAUGAUGAAUUUGUUCCAGAAGCAUGGGAGCGCUUCCAAGACUACAUCCUAGAAUGUCCCCAUCAUGGAAUGGAGAGUUGGCUACUAAUGCAGACGUUUUAUCAUGGGCUCGGCAACAGUGCCCGAGCGACCAUGGAUGUUGCAGCCGGAGGAGCAUUCCUAUCACUUACCAUAUCACAAGCCACAGCUCUUGUGGAGAAGAUGGCGUCCAACCAACGCUGGAAUGAAGAGAGGACCCAGACACGCAAGAGAGGUGGAGGUAUGCAUCACCUCAAGGAGGUAGACAUGCUGUCUGCAAAGCUACACCUGCUCAUGAAGAAGCUCGAUGAUAGAGCUAGAGAUAAGAAAGAAGUUAUGCACAUCUACGACUCUCACAUGACUUUUGAGGAGUGUGGAGAUACUGGACACUUAGGCAAUCACUGCCCUGAGAUGCUUGAGGAUGUGAACUACAUCAACAAUAACAACAACUACUACUACAACCGUCCUCAACAAAAUCAAGGUUGGAAUCAACAGAGGCCUAACUACUCAGGUAAUUAUCAAGGUAAUAACUCUUACAAUAAUACUAAUAAUUUCCCACCUAUUAGAGAGUUAGUGUCUAAUCAAGGAAAGCUAAUGGAUAACCUAUCUAAGAAAUUGGCAUCUAAUGAUAAAAUGCUAGAAAAUAUAAACAAUAGAAUGGAUAAUUUCUCUACUGCCAUCAAGAAUCAAAUUAGCUUUAAUAAAAUGAUUGAAUCUCAGUUAAAUCAAAUAGCUGCUGUUGUUCCUGCUACUAACCCCAGUAUACCAUCACAACCGGAAGGAUUAGAAUCUGCAAAUCUUGUAGACAUGUUUGAUGCAGGUAACUACUGGAGUAACCCCGUCACUGAAGUUACUACUGACCUUCUGCCGAUCAAGAGAGGCGAUCCAGGACGCCCCGUCAUCCCGAUCUCCAUCGGCAAGGUGGACUUCCCAGAAUCACUCUGCGACUUUGACUCUAGUGUCAAUAUUAUGCCUAGGGUACUCUAUGACAAAUUCUUUACAUAUCCUUUAUUAGAAACAACCAUGUGUUUGUAGUUUGCAGAUUAGAUGAUAAGUUUUCCAAAAGGAAUAUUGAAGAACCUUUGUGUCCGAGUUGGUACCUUGUACGCCCCAGCAGACUUCGUGGUGAUAGAGACCGGUAAUGAUGAGAGGGCACCCAUCAUCUUAGGGAGGCCAUUCUUGAACACCUUGGGAGCUAUUAUCUAUGCUAGUGCUGCCAAGAUCAGUUUCUACAUCAAAGGGAAGAAGGAGAUGUUUUCCUUCAAGAACAAGACUACACAAAUCCCAGAUCAAUCUCGACAUGAACCAAGGAAGAGGACCAAUAGGAGGAAUAGGAACAAGCAAUUAUGGACCGAGUCAGCUAAGAUGGUUACUGCAGUUCAUGGAGGUCAAGAUCAUCGACUUAAGUCACCGUUUCUGGCUAAGAAGGACGACCCAGGAAUGCCAAGUAUCUACUGCUCCAUCAAUCGGUACAACUUCUACAAGACGACUUGCGGCACCGGAUCGGGCGUCAAUAUAAUGGCCGCAGUCACCUAUCGGCUCUUGUUCGGAACCAUGCCCCUAAAAUAAACAUACAUUCAGCUCCAGAUGGUAGAUCAGACGUUUCGAGAAGUUAAUGGAAUAGUAUCUGAUGUCCCUGUCAAAAUAGACGAUCAUUUUGACUACACAGACUUUCAGGUUAUUGGCAUGGGAGAAGACGAAUACGAUCCACCCGUUAUCCUUGGAAGACCGUUCCUCAGGACCGCUAAAGCAAUCAUCUACAGUGGAACCGGAGAAGUCCAUAUGCAUUUCCCCUCAGAGAAGGUACGCCGCUAUUUUACUGACCCUAAUUAUAUCGUUGAAGACCCUAAGCAGGUCAGAAAACGACGCAACCGCAACUAGAGGAGGCAGAUCAUCAAGGAUGGAUGGGCAGACUAUGAAGGGAAAGUGAUAUGAUCAGAAGAAAUACAGUUUAAACAAAAUUAUCCAGAGGAGACUAUAGCACCGAGUCAGGUGUGGAAAGAGAAGAUAACUAUACAUGAAGAGGAGGCGCUGCCAGAAGCACUGACUCUGCCAUCCAACGAAUUCCAGGACGACUGAGAAAACGGAGAGUCCCGUUCGGUGCGUUCGGAGGACUUAAAAACACCGAACGCCUUACCAAGAGGUAAACUUGGUAGUUAUCUUUUUCCUUUCAAUUAUUUCAACUAGUUUGCUUAGUUAAUUAGGUUCAUACUAUCCUAAAAAGAAAAUAAAAACGUUAAAAAACAGUAAGCCCCAUGUGACUAUACGAGUGGCAUAAACCCCAUAAGUACAUUCACUGUGGUGGCAUAAAAAUAAAAUAAAUAUUUUUUCUGCUUUAUAAAAUGAAAAUAUAAAAAUAGAGAGUAACAUUUAGUGAGGAGGCUCAACAUGAUAAAGGCUACAUAUUUAUGCUAACACCUAAUCAGUUCCACAAAGCUUUGUUAUCUAUUUGAGCUCCACAGAAUUCAAGGAUCAAGAAGACUAGCAGACGGAGGACAUUCUAAUCGCUCUCAGGGUGCUGCCGAUAUUCAAAUACACCUCUACCACCUGCUAGCUACAUCAGAAGAAAUUACGUCAAAAUUCAGCUUGGGGGAGAGCACCCCCAUUUAUCCCGCUAAGUAUUUCUAUCUAUCUAUAUACUCAUACUAUAUUAAAAUAUACAUUUCUAUGAAAAAAUAAGUAAAGAUUUUUGUGCUUAUAUAUAUCUUUUGCUUAGUGUGCUUAAUAAAUAAACAAAGUAGCUAUGCUGAACCGAAUCUUAAUAAUAAAACUCUAGCAUGGAUAUGAUGAAUAGUUGUUCUGCCUAAUUUUCAAAUUAGAGUUCUCUCUCAAGUUUAGACAUAACUGUUAUAAUUUAAAGCUUGCUCUAAACCUGAACUUGUGGGAAGAGAACUUGAUCUGAAGUCUAAGAUGUUAACGGAUAUGAUAUGGAAAGGUUGAGCUGCUAAUUCUGGAGAAUUUUAUCUUUUAAAAUCUUUAAAAUAUUACAUGAUGAGUUCCUGUAUGAUGAGAGUUUAAAUUCCUACCACAGCUAUAUAUACAGGCUUGCUAGACUUUGAGCCACACAUUUACUUUUUACUGCUUAUGAGCAUUGAGUGUGGUCAAGCUGUGUAGACCCUUAGGAGCUUGUCAUGUGGUUAAAAUCAAGAUUCACUUGCACGUUCACUCACACAUGCUACUUCUACUCCAGAAGUACGCAUCCACAUAUAUUGACUCAUUUCCAUCUCCAGAAACCACCCAAAAACAUUCUACUCCUAAUCCGGGAGAGAAUGGCCAAAAACAUUCUUGUUUUCCCUGUGAAAUAAAUGCUCAAGUUAUUUUGGUUACUGCCACUUGCUAUAUUAUUUCAAGAGAUGAGUGCUCUAUAAAAUAAAAAGAAGAAAAAAAUAUACGAGGAAAUAAAAAGGGGCAAGUGCCCGACAGUAGAAUUAGGGGUACAAGAUACCCACCUGAGAGAAAAGAAAAUACAGAGCAUCUCAUUCUCCUCACAAAGUUUCAAAUAGCAAGGAAGGUAUGUAUCCCCUCAAAAAAGCAAAAAUAGAAUUAGACUUUCACCAUUGUUAUCAUUAUCAUCACCAUACACCAUUCAUUCGCCACACAUGCACAUCUUGAUUUUACUUAUUGAUUUGUUUCUUUGGAUCCAUGGUUUGACUAUACAAUAAAUGUCUUGUAAGUAUGUAUACUUUAUCUCCCACCUUUGAGCUCCAGAUAUUAAAGCCUUGUUAGAGUAGGGUGAGAGAGAAGGCAAUGUCAUUAUGCCUUAUACCACAAAUACUACAUAUCUUGAGAGAAGGCAUAUACCAUCACUGCCUUGGUAAGGAUCUAGAAAUACCACAAAAGAGAGAUCUGAGAGAGUCAUACAAAGGAAUCUCUGAGUUUUAAUUGAAAAUCUACAAAAACUCCAGAGCUCUAGCUGAUCAAGAAUAAGAGACAUGGCACUUGACUAGACUGUCCUAUCUUUUAACUACUCAAGAUAGAAGUGACGGUUACAAGUCCCAUGGUGAAUGGUAAAGUAAGUAAGUUUUAAGUCUUGACAGUUUACUCUAACUCAGAGAUGAGAUCUUAUUUAAAUGCAUGUGUACCGUCAAUUUUUAAAGGCAUUACAACAACUUCGGAUCCAUCGCUUAGAUUAUCCUUGCUCAGGGAUGAGCAAGAGGUAAGCUUGGGGGAGUUUGUUGACGGUCCUUAAGUAUCAAUUUUAAUUAUCAAAUAAAUAAAGAAAAGGAUCCAAGUGAAAUCAACAUCCAGACUUAGGGUUUUAUCUAAUAGAAUUCCACGAGUUUUGGUGUUUGUCCAUUUCUGCAGGGGGUUAUGAGGAAAUACGGAAGAAAGGCCCACACAUCGGGAUUACAUAGAGACAUUAACGUGCCUUGCAAUUAUCUUACAUCUAGAAGAUUCCAUAAGCAACGGGAAUGAAGCGGAGGCAGAACGGAGCCUAGCCCAGGGUGCCCGCCCUAGGGACCAGGGCACCCGCCCACCUCUGGAGUCCAAUCAGGACUCUCUUUCGGGAUCACGCUCCACCGACCUAAAGGAUCAAGGAUAACCGUUCAAUCAUUGUCGGUUUGAUCCGACGGCCCAUAUUCACUUGGAAGGACUAUAAAACCAGACCCCCUGGCCCCUGGAGGAGAGAGCCUCUCAACCCUAAUUCAUUAUUCAUCAAGGGAGAAGAAGCCUCUGAUCAAGCCUAGAGCCACCACAUCAAUUAGACAUCUAGAUUAGCAUAGCUACAUAGGAUUAGAACUAGAAGGAGUCAAUCUUCGAUUUGUUUCUGGAUCUGUCUAGAGGAUUUUUGGUAAUUCUCUAUUGUUCUUCAAUUGUUCAUCUUUGUUCUUCGAUAUUAUGAAUAUGACUUUGUUCUACUUCAAUAUAUUGAUUAUGACUUUGCUCUACUUGUUUAUAUUUGCAAUUAUAUUGUUCUUAGUUUAUCAUAGUUAUAUACUUGGCUUAGUUAGAUUGGAUCUAUAUACAUGUUUAGGAUCGUAAAGCGUUUAUCCAUCGGAUCCAUGGGUAAAUGAUAGAUAUUGUGUAGGCAUGGUGCUUAUAUCGUAUUUAUCUGCGAUUGUACCCUAUAUGCCAGAUCGCGGGGUAGUUCGUGGUAGUGACAGCUCCAUUGAUUCUUAUAUAGUUCCCCUCUCGUGUAUUGGGCUGGCAGAGCAAAAUUAUUACAGUGGAGUGAUUACGAUGUUUCUCAUAUUCCUUGCUAAUAUCACUAUGCAUGGGCGUAGUCCUGUCUCACAAUGAUUGCUAAGUAUAAUUGCACUAACUAUGAUAUGCUAGACUGUAUAGUUAAGAAUAACUUAGGAAAUAUUCUUAUAGUUCGUUCUAAUUCCAUGCUAAUGACUUGCUAUAAUAUCUAAUUCAGGUGCUUAUUAUAUAUAUAUGUGGCUAAGUUAUGCUGAUCAGAUUAAUUAUCUUUGUCACUAUUCAUUACUUUAUAAACUUUAUGUGACAAUUAUCCCUGUGUGAAAGAGUUAGAUAAAUGUUCUCAAUUAUACAUGCAAUGAUAGAUACUCAAUCUUAUAUUCCAUUCUAUAAUCAACAUUGAUGGUUACUAAUCCCUUCCCAGUGGUAAAAACAUAAAUAACGAUACCUGGAAUACCUCCCGGUUAAAAUGCUACAUCGGUAUUAAUCUGUACGCUUGCAGAUCCCAUUCAUUAUUUAUUUAGAUGAGCAAUUGCAUAUUUCAAUACCGCGUCUCUCAUGCCAUGCUGGGGAUGACAACUUGGCUUAAGUGGUAUGAGGGAUAGGUUUGGCAUUUUUGGCGCCGUUAUCAGAAUUAGAAAACUAAGUCUACUUUUCGUAAUGACAUUAAGAAUACCCAACAGCUUUAUUCUCGUUGAGCUUGGCUCAGAGCUUCCUCCACUUGUUUAAGUUCAGCCAGGGCCUCUCUUCUUGCCGAUAGAUUGGAAAUCUUCUGCUUUAGUUCACCACAUGAGGAUUGCAAAGUGCCGAUGCUCUUGUGUUUCUCAGUGGCAACACGCUUCACUUGUAGCAUCUCCUCUUUGAGUUGGGCAUAAGCGGCUCUAUCGGCAAGGCGCUGAGUAGCCUUAUGAUACUGAAGUUGGCGACGUUCUAGGUGGGCAACUUGAAAAAGAAUCUCCUUAGCAUCGGCUGGAAUCUGACCAUGGAGAGUCUUCAAUAUGGCUUUGGCUGUAUCAGAAUCAUCCACUAGCUGGGUUGAUGCGACACGUUGUCUCGAUCUUCACGACGUAGGAUGAACACCGAUAACUAGCUAAAGAACAACCGGAUAACUUGCUGCAAGCAGCGAUAACUAGUGCAACCUGGCAAAUAAAACUCGAAGCCAACCACCGUCUUUAACCGGCAACCUGAAUCAAGGAUUCGCCCAACCACACUCUCAAAGAACCAACCAACACAACCUACAAUCAAUCAAGGAAUACCUUGAAGGGAGUAGGAGCACCAAUUGGGAGUGGAUGAAGCCGCCGCCUAUGUAAUCCCGCGAGGAAAUCACAAGAGCAAAGGGGUAGAGAUCACUCUCAGAAUUUGUUAGCACGCAGCUGAACAAAGGGGUCCUGUAUUUCAAUUAUCAAAGUCUAAGAUUACAAUGAGUCUUAGGGGGUAUUUAUACUAGCAACGGCCCUGCUAGAUAGGUAUAAAAACGAAAUAGAGUUUCUGAGGGAAGGCAAUGUGAAAGGUCCCCUCGAAAUGGAUUCCCGAAGUGGCUUUGCGUGACUGUUGGCCUCCAAACCAGUUUCCAAUAAACUGACCAUAACUUUUUAUUGGAAGUCCAAAUGAUGAACCGUUUCUUGGGUGUGGAACUAGAUUCAAAGGGCUUUCUAGCAAUGUAUGCCAACCAGCAAGAAACAUUGUAGAUUGGUACAGUUUUACUUGGCAAGUUGUACCAACAUUCUGCCAUGACAGACUGUUGACCUUCUGAGCAGUCUAUACUAAUUCUGGUCUGCAGGCAAUAUGGAGUAUCCAAACUGGUCGCCACUAGAUUCAUUGGAAAGUAGACUCGUCAAGCUUUCCAACAAGUGCUCGUGGACCUUCAUAGCUUUUGUGAGUAAAAAGCUAUGAAGAUUCUUUGCACUGGUCCGUUUUUUACUUCCACUGGUUCGUUUUUGACUUCUUCUGGAACUCGCACUGGUCCGUUCUUCAUGGUCCGAUUCUUCCUUCUCUUCUUCUAUAUACCUGAGUAGAAUCAAGGUACAACACUUAGGUAGUAUAUAAUUCUCAUUAAUGUUAAAAUGAAUCUCACAAAGUAGCGCGUGGACCUCUUGUUGUAGCUUCUUUGCACGACUACGUGUAAUUGGUCCAUCGAUGACUUGAGCUGGUGUCGGUGUAGGUGAAACUUGAGUCGGUGUAGGUGAAACUUGAGUGGGUGUAGCUUGACUUGGAGCUUGUGACAUCUUGCUUGGUGGCAUGGUCAUAUCAUCCUCCCCCCUUGAAAAGGAGUCGUCCUCGACUCUAAAGUGUCUUCACUUGUGAAUGGUGAGAGAUCAGCAACAUUGAAGGAGUUGCUCACACCAUAACUUGCAGGAAGAUCAAUCUUGUAUGCAUUGUCAUUGAUCUUCUCAAGAACACAAAAUGGACCAUCUCCUCGUGGCAGCAAUUUUGAUUUGCGCUGCUGAGGAAAAUGAUCAUUGCGCAAGUGUAUCCACACCAAGUCCUCGGGUUCAAAUAACACCUUCUUCCUAUGUUUGUUCAUACUUGCAGGCUUGCGUCCUGCCUUGAGUUCAAUUGCUUCCUUGGUCUUCUCGUGUACCUUCUUGAUGUAUGCAGCACGCUUGGAGGCUUCCAUAUUGGUUCUUUCCUGUAAUGGAAGGGGCAACAAAUCUAUCGGAGCAAUAGGUUUGAACCCAUAUACAAUUUCAAAAGGACACAUAUUAGUGGUAGAGUGUACUGCCCUGUUAUAUGCAAACUCCACAUGUGGCAUGCAUUCCUCCCAAACCUUCAGAUUCUUUUUCUCCAUAGUAUGCAGCAACAUUGACAAUGUGCGAUUCACCACUUCAGUUUGUCCAUCGGUUUGAGGGUGACAAGUGGUGGAGAACAAAAGCUUGGUUCCGAGCUUUGCCCAUAAUGUUUUCCAAAAAUAGCUCACAAACUUGACAUCACGAUCAGAUACAAUGGUUCUAGGCAUUCCAUGCAGGCGCACAAUUUUCCUGAAGAACAAAUUAGCAAUAUGUGAAGCAUCGUCGCUCUUGUUACAAGGAAUAAAAUGAGCCAUCUUUGAAAAUCUAUCAACCACAACAAAAAUUGAAUCUUUUCCUUUCUGAGUUCUAGGCAACCCCAAGACAAAAUCCAUGCUUAUGUCUUCCCAAGGAGUUUUAGGAGUAGGUAAAGGAGUAUAUAGACCAUGAGGGUUCAGUUUAGACUUAGCUUUGUGACAGGUAACGCAUCGCUCCACGAAUUUGAUGACAUCUCUUCUCAUCUUGGGCCAAUAAAAGUGAUCUUCUAGCAGCUCAUAGGUUUUCCUUUGUCCAAAAUGGCCUGUCAAUCCUCCCCCAUGAGACUCCUGCAACAAAAGCAAUCUAACCGAAGAAUUUGGAACACAGAUUUUGUUAGCUCUAAAAAAAAUCCAUCAUGUAUAUGAUACUUUUCCCAACCUUUUCCAUUUUUACAAUGAUUAUAUGGUUCUGAAAAUUCAGGGUCAUUACUGUACAGUACUUUCAAACUUUCAAGUCCCAAAACCUUUACCUCAAGUUGGUUUAGCAACACACUCUUUCGUGACAGAGCAUCAUCAACAACAUUGUCCUUACCUUUCUUAUAUUUCACAAUGUAUGGAAAUAUUUCGAUGAACUCAACCCAUUUGGCAUGACGACGGUUCACUUUUGCUUGUCCUUUCAAGUACUUCAAAGAUUCAUGAUCAGAGUGAAUAACAAAUUCUUUUGGCCAUAAGUAGUGCUGCCAUGUUUCAAGCACAUGCACCAAAGCAUAUAAUUAUUUAUCAUGCACAGAAUAAUUCAGUUGAGCACCUCCUAGUUUUUCACUAAAAUAUGCUACAGGUUUUCCUUGUUGCAUUAAAACUCCUCCUAUCCCAAUUCCACUAGCAUCACAUUCUAUUUCAAAAGUUUUAGUGAAAUCAGGAAGAACAAGUACAGGUGCUUCAGUCAAACGUUUCUUUAAUUCUUGAAAUGCAUUUUGUUGUGAUUUUGCCCAUUUAAAGUCAACACCUUUCUUUAUCAAUUCAUUCAAAGGAGCAGCGAUGGUACUGAAAUCUCUCACAAACAUCCUAUAAAAACAAGCAAGGCCAUGAAAACUUCUUACUUGACUUACAUUUGUUGGAGUUGGCCAAUCAUUGAUGGCUUUCACCUUGCUUUCAUCCACUUCUAUGCCCUUUCCUGAAACAACAAAGCCAAGAAACACAGCAUGGUCUGUGCAAAAACUGCACUUCUCAAGAUUAGCAAAUAAUUUCUCCUUUCUAAGCUCUUCCAAGACUUGCCGAAUAUGAUUCACAUGUUCCUCAAAAGACUUGCUGUAAAUUAAGAUAUCAUCGAAGUAGACAACAACAAAUUUUCCAAUGAAAGCUCUCAAGACAUGGUUCAUUAAUCUCAUGAAAGUACUAGGAGCAUUAGUCAAACCAAAAGGCAUAACUAACCAUUCAUACAGCCCAAAUUUUGUUUUAAAUGCAGUUUUCCAUUCAUCCCCUGUUUUCAUUCUUAUCUGAUGGUAUACACUUCUCAAAUCAAUUUUAGUGAAUAUGGUGGAACCACUUAAUUCAUCAAGCAUGUCAUCUAAACGUGGGAUAGGAUGGCGAUAGUGAACAGUGAUGUUAUUUAUAGCUCUACAAUCAACACACAUUCUCCAAGAACCAUCUUUCUUAGGUACUAAAAUUAUAGGAAUAGCACAAGGACUUAAACUUUCACGAACAAAACAUUUAUCAAGAAGUUCUUGCACUUGCCUUUGUAUCUCCUUUGUUUCUUCUGGAUUGGUUCGGUAUGGUGGUCGAUUAGUUAGUGUAGCCCCUGGAAUGAGAUCAAUUUGAUGCUCAAUCCCACGAAUUGGAGGUAGUCCCACUGGUGUUUCUUCUAGAAAGACAUCUCCAUAGUCCUGCAAAAGAUGAGACACAACACUAGGAAGAGAGGUCAUGUCGUUAGCUGAAAUUAAAAUGUCUUUGUAUACAAGUACAAAGAGCACUUGUUCGGGGUUGUUUCUCACUUCUCUCAUUUCAGAUUUUGUGACUAGCAUGACUAAAUUCUCUCCCUCUCCUUUCUUUUUCUCCCUCAAAUUUAGCUUGUGGCACUCACUCACCGAAUUGUGGAUGGCACUCAAUUUCUUUUGCUCUCCUUCCUCUCUACUCACUGGAACAAUUUCAGAUUUCUUUUGUAAAUGUUCCGCCAUGAUUUGUUGAGGUGUCAUAGGCUUGAGAACAAACUUCUUCCCCGCUAGAUUGAUAGUAAACUGAUUUGUUCUCCCACAAUGUUGGCUAUAUCGAUCAUAUUGCCAUGGCCUUCCAAGCAGCAAGUGACACACCGACAUAGGUGCCACAUCACUCUCCACUGUGUCAACAUAUUCACCAAUCUUGAAUGGAACUUUCACUUUAUCUGCAAUCUUGAUAUCUUCCGAAUCAUUCAGCCACUGUACAUUAUAUGGAUGAGGGUCUCGUAGCAGCUUCAAGCUAAGUUUAUCACUCAUCUCACGACUAGCAAGAUUAUGGCAGAUCCCUCCAUCAAUAAUCACCUUCACGUCUUUAUCAUGCAUCUUUGCUCUAGUUUGAAAUAAUUUGUGUUGCUGCCCAUUUUCAGCUUCAUUUGCCUGAACACUCAAGAUUUGAGUCAUCUCAAGAACAGCUCCUUGCUCAAACUCACAACAAGUAAGGUCCUCGUCUCCAUGGGCUUCCUCCUCAAUUCCCUCUUCACUAGCUGAUUCAUACUUUCCAUCAUCAUUCACAAUGAUCACCUGAGUAUUGGUGCACUCCUUACUUAUAUGCCCAUGGCCUCCACACUUGAAGCUCUAAAUUUCACUACUCCUGGAAGUAGAGCCCACUGAAGUAGUGGUUGAUGCUGCUGGUUUUGAACUUGGGACAACAGUGUUCUUUCCACUAAAAGUACCCUGAAAAUUAGAUCGAGAGCCUCCACUUGAGCUUUUCACCAUGGACGGUUCAGCAGCAAACUUUGUGUUUGAUUUGCUUCCUCCACAGAAAUUCCUCGUGGAUGGUUCAGCAGCAAAUUUUGGCAUGGUAAAUUUCAGUUUGCCAAAUCUUUCUUCAUGGUUGCCUCUUCUAUGACAUCGGCGACCAGAACUGAGUUGGAAGCGGUUGUCAUUAGCCUCAUCUUCAGAUUCAUCAUCAUUUCUUCCACUAUGUCUUCUUCCUUCGCCAUGUGCAGCCCUCUGGUUCCUCCGACCUCCUCUUCUUCCAUCACUAUCUUCUCUAUCUCCACUAUGGUUGCUUGCACCAUCAUGAGGUGGACGAUGCCUACUGAUUUCAGUCAUAAGAUUCUGAAGAUCUCGUGUCAACCUCUCGCUUUUCUUCCAUGCUUUGUCAGAGUUUAUUAAAUUGUGCUAUGGUAUCACAAUUUUUGAUGUCCACUCGACCCAUCUUCCUGUAAGGUUAGCUGAAUACAAAUAAUUUGUAUUUGUAGAAUAUGAAAAUUUGGUGGCUCUCACAACUCACCUCUCUAACCACCAAAGCUCUUAUGAAUUCCUCUGCUGCAGAUUACAAGGAAAACAAAUGUGUGGUGGCAACUGAAAGUGAUGGCGAGGCGAAUACAAGAACAGAGAGUACCGAUUACGAUGGUUUUUAUGUGGAGCUUGGUGGGGAGUAAUACACAAGGAAUGCAAUCUGAAUUCUAGUUGUUGUAAAGUUAUGUAACGAUCCAAACUAGAAGUUCUCUGCCUAGUGCUGAUCAAAAGAUUCGAAGUGUAUAAAUAGAUCACACACACGCAAAGAAAUUUCAGAAUUGAUGCAAACAAGGAGUAUGAUUGGGAUGCAAGUGUUGCAAUCAGACCCAACCAAAGUUUUGCACCAAAUAAAGAUAGCAAACUGGUUACAGAAUUUGAUAUGAAACUUUUAGCACUUGUUCACAUAAACCAACUAAUCUUUCAGACUUUCUGUCUGAACCUUUCUCAACUUUUUUUUCACUUCACUUUUUUUUUGCACUUUCAUUUCUUUUUCUUGAAACACUUUUUUAUAUAUAGAACUAAAAACAGGGAUCAGAUUAUGAUACUUGCACAAUUAAAGAUAGAAAAUAAACGAUAACUAGUAGCUAGAUAGGAUCAAAGUUAACACAAAGGAUGAUAUAGGAUAUAGAGAUUUUUUUGUGAGGAUUUUUAGAUAUAAAAGAGGUACAAAGAACACGCGAAGGAUAAAUGAUCAGCAACUAAAACAAAGACUCUAAUUGACUGCGACUUAACCGAACUCACUAAAACAACAGAUUGAAACAAUGGUCUAAGCAAUAUAUUUUUCGGGCUUUUUGGUGGAUAGGACGAAGCAAAAUAUAUAUGUAGCUAGGGAUAAAAUUCCUACCGUGGUAACAAAAGCUUUGAUACCAGAUGAUGUGACACGUUGUCCCAAUCUUCACGACGUAGGAUGAACACCGAUAACUAGCAGAAGAACAGCUGGAUAACUUGCUGCAAGCAGCGAUAACUAGUGCAACCUGGCAAAUAAAACUCGAAGCCAACCACCGUCUUUAACCGGCAACCUGAAUCGAGGAUUCACCCAACCACACUCUCAAAGAACCAACCAACACAGCCUACAAUCAAUCAAGGAAUACCUAUGCUAAUGUAUAACGACUAUACUAGCCAAUCAAAUGUAAUGCACAAAAGUAAAUAGAGAAGAUAAAAUAUAUUAAAGCAUAUGUCUUACAAGAGAAGAUACAAAGAUAUACCAGAACUCUGAUGACUCCUCCAAGGACUCCUCUAGAACCCAGGCAUAGCGCCGCUCUCCCUAACUCUCAACUAGAACUAAUCUACUACAUUGGAAAGUUUAGUCUUAAUUCUCUAGAGGUGAGAGGUCAUCCAUUUGAGGGACGCCUCUACAUCUCCAUAAUGUGGUGCCCCUAGGGAGGGGGCUCUGCCUCUUUAUUUAUAGCCUAUAAAAGCCUCCCACGUCUUCUCGACAGGUGAUGUGGGACUAAUUCUUCCACCAUUUGCUCUGUUUUUUUUGAGGCCUCUAUCAUGCCAUAUGAACCUCUUCUCACGUCGUGGGUCUUGCUUGGGCAUGGGGCCCAUUAGUGGUAAUUCUCCUUUAUUUGUAAAAUUAAUAUCUUUUCACUCUGGACUCCAAAUAUAGCAAAUGAUAUGUCCAUUUCGAUCGUCUCGAUGAGCCCGUCACAAUGGUGUUGUCCAAAUCAUCAUUUGACGUACUUUUAUUUGAUGGAAUAUUGCAUAUUCCUACAAAACAAGUGGGAACACCAAAACUCAUGGAACUCGUUAGAAUCAAACCCUACAACAAUGCUUUAUGGUUGAUAUCAUGUUAUAUUGAGCAAUAGUUGAUGGUAUAAAAUAGGCAUUAAGGACCGUCUACAAAGGGUAGAUAUAUUUUUGAAAGUGUUGUAGCUGCUCAUGAGAUUCUUUGUGAGGUGCAUAAGGAGUCAGGUAUUAUCCUUAAGCUUAACUAUGAGAAAGUGUAUGAUCUGGGGAGUUUCCUAGAAGAAAUGUUAAAAUCUAGGGGUUUCGAAGUUAAGUGGAUAUUCCUACAAGGUGGUUCUAUUUGCAUUAGAAUGAAUGAUGAGAAUAGUACUUUCUUUAAACCAAGUAAGGGGCUUAGACAAGGGGAUCCCCUUUCUCCCCUUCUUUUUAAUCUAGUAGCUGAUGUGUUUACUAGGAUGCUCCUGAGGGCAGCUAAGAGAAAUCUUAUCUCUAGUUUGUUACCACAGGCUAAACCUGGGGGCAUUAUUAGUUUACAGUAUUCUAAUUAUACGCUACUUUUCCUUGAAAAUAAUCUAGAUAAAGCAGCAAACUUAAAGUGGUUGCUAGUUUGUUUUGAACAACUUUCUAGUAUGACAAUUAACUAUGAUAAAAGUUAUCUACUGGUUUUAGGUAUGGAUGAUGAGAGGACCAAUGAUUUUGCAAAAGUUUUCUGUUGUAAAAAGAGUGAUUUCCCUAAUAAGUAUUUAGGAGUUCUAUUGCAUUCUUCAAAACUAGGGAGGGAGGAUCUACAACCUAUGAUUGAGAAAAUUGUUAGGAGGAUAGCUAGGUGGGAGGGUAUACUCCUAUCUUAUGUAGGCAGGCUGACCGUACUUAAGUCAUGUCUAGCCAGCAUUCCUAUAUAUUUUCUUUCCAUAAUUAAGUUCCCUCGAUGGGCUAUUGACAUGAUUAACACCCAUAUGGGUCAUUUUCUUUGGAACAGUUCUGAGGCACGGCCCGUGGGCCGAUUUUCGGGCCGGGCCGGCCCAAAAAGCACGAGGCCCAAUAGUCCUUCAGGCCAAAACUAUUCACUGAAAUUGAUCUCGGAGUGAUGAUUGCCAUCAUCAAAUCAUUAUCCUUGUUGAGAGCAUCAUCAAAAGGGUGGAAGGUGAGCGGGAAUCUGGUUUCUGGAUCUUCAUAAGGCAUCCAUGCUCGCUAAUCUUUGGAGAGAUCAUCAUACAAGGUUUGGAAGAAUUGGCCGACCUAGUUUUUGUUGCAGCCAGUACUAGGGAGGUCUAUGAUAGCUUCACCAUAAUUAAGGGGUGGACGAGUUGCCGAUUCAUCAUCUGCUAGCUCAUAGUCUUCGGCAAUAUCUCGAAGGAAUCGCUGUGCAAAGAAGUCAAACCGGAGGUGUUUGUGCACAUGGGUGUUGAGCCACAUAUUGAUAAACCACCAAGAGCCUCCUAGGUUCCCGAUGGGUUCACCUAGCAGGAGUUUCUCGGUCACUUGAUGGAGGAGAUGAUAGACGGAGCCUAGCAGUUAUCGGCCAAGAGGGAAUCGGCCACCAUCGGCUAACCUUUCUGCUGCCGAUAAGUAGACAGAGGUUGGUCCUACCGAUCGGGAGCAGAAGAUGAAUUUGUCUAGCCACAUGUUUAGAAAAAGUGGCAUGUUCCCUCUGACCUACCGGCCUUGUUCUUUGAUACUUCUGGAUAUACCCUGACCAGCCACCGAUGUUGCGGGUUUCUACUUUGUGUUCGGCUUUGCGGUCGUACAACUAGCCAUCAUCGGCAGUUGCAAUGUCUAAACCAGUAAACAUGAGGACAUCAGCAAGAGUGGGGAAAGCUAGGCCAUGACCAAAAAGGAAAGCAUUGAAAGUAUCUGACCAGAAGUAUGAAGUAGCUAUCAGCAGUGAUUCAUUUCUUUCCAUAUCGGCAAAUAGAUAGCCUGAUGCACUAAUCUAGUUUGCGUUCACCCCAGUAUACUUCAUUUGUGUUGCUAACCCUCAAAAACCAAUCCUUCCAUCCUUUGGCGGAACUUGGCUAGGAUCAGAAAGUAUCUUUCCACAUAUUUAAAUAAAAAUUCUCGGCCCUAAAAGGAAUUCUGUUUGUUUCCGCAUUGAUUAGAUCGUUGGGAUCUGGGUUACCCAGUUGACCGAGGCAUUGAAGAUGGGGUUGUUCGGUAGGGGUAACAAUUUUCUCACUCAGUUCCUAAGGUUUGAAGAUUGAAAUAACAAAGAGAAAGAAAGAAGAAGGAAAAAUGCUAAGUAAGUAGACUUGCAAAAGGUGAAGAGGUGUGGUAAAGAAAGGAAAGAUGGGAAUAGAUUAACCUCAGGGACGACAAAGUUGACGGCCAUUUCUUCCCGGAGAAGAAGAAGAUCAAAGACUUGAGAAACCGUUGGGGGAGAUUUUGCUGGGGUUCUUGGGCUCUUCGACAAUGCCGCCGCUAGAGAGAUGAGUUUGGGGGGAUGAAGGAUGGCAAGGUAGAUAAAGAGUGCCAAGGAAGGAAGUAUUUAUAGGGUAAAGUGAACAUGGGCAUUUUUGACUUAUCUCUUUGUCGUAUCCGUGAAAUUCGAGGGUGUUCACAUGGACAUGGUAACUGUUCGUACGAUAAUCAAGGGAUUGUGCAGGUGAUGUGUGUUGACAGUCCUUAAGUGCUAAAUUUAACCAUCAACUAAACAUGGAAAAGGAUGAAUAUGCACCAAACAUCUAGAAUUAGGGUUUUACCUGACUGAAGUCCACGAGCUUUGGUGUUUGUCUAUUUCUGCAGGGGGUUAUCAGAAAAUAUGGAGAGAAGGCACACAUUUCAUGUUUACAACAAGAUAAUUACGUGCCGCGCAAUUUUCCUUAAUCUAGAAGAGUCCAGAAGCCACGGGAACAAACGGGAAGCUGGACAGACCCGGGGGCAGGGCGCCCGCCCUUCCCCUUGGGCGCCCGCCCUGGCCUCGGGGCCAAUCAGGUUCAACUUCGCGGAUUAUGCUCCACCGACCUAAAGGAUCAAGGAAAACCGUGCGAUCAAUGUCGGUUUGAUCCGACGGCCCAAAUUCACUUGAAGGGACUAUAUAAGCAAGGCCUCUCCACCCCAGGGGAGAGGAUAAAUCAUUAUCAGAGGAAGCCAUCAAACUUAGGGUUUUAGAACUUCUCUCCCACAGAGAAUUAGAAUUAGCUACUCUCUAAUCCUUCAAGUUCUAUAGGGUUGAUUAGAUAGAAUUAGAGAAGUAGAGCACUAUGCUCUGGAUUCGGAUCUUCGUUAAUAAAGAUUGGUAUUAUUUGAUAUCUUUCUCUACUACUUUAUUCUAAUUGCAUUAUGUCUCUAUUUAUUAUGAUCUUAGUUUGCUCUAGUUCUAUAUUUGAUAUAGUUAUGAUUGAUAAUGAGUUUAUGUAUAAGUUUGCAAAGCGCUUAGCUCUUGACGCGCGGGAGUUAAGUGGUAGAUCACAUGUGGACGUGGUGCUUAGAUGUUAUUUACCUGCAAAUGUAUCCUAUUGGCCGAGUCGUGGGGUAGUUCGCGAUAGUGACAGCUUCGUUGAUUAUUAUAUAGUCCACCCUCCGUUGAUUGGACAGGCAGAAUUUGUAUUGCGGAGUAAGUCUUGUGAUGUUCUGAUUUACUUUAGCAAUGUUCCUUGUACAUGAAUGAAGAGUCUUUUAUGCUAUAUAUGAUAACUAGAGUAGAUUGUGACUUAGUAGAUAGUAGAUAACUUAGAAUCCAUUCUCUAGCUAAUCCGACGUCACCUUACAUAUAUGAGGAGUAGUCUAUUUUCUAAUCGCUGUGUUAUUUACCCAAGAGCUUAUAUUCCAAUAUCAUUAUUAUUAUUAUGGCUUACCCCCUGCCAAAGUAAGUGACUGUGUGACGAGUUCCUCAUUAGUAAUCGUGUUCUUACAAGUUUAUCUCUAGUCUAUGCCUUGAUAGAUUUUAUUUAUCUCCACCGUUCUCUUAAGCAAAAUUAUAAAUAACGAUACCCGGAAUACUUUCUUGGUGAAAUGCUACAAUCAGGUAUUUUAUCUGUGUACUUGCGGAUAGAAAAGAUUAUUUUCUAGAGAGCCUUUACAUUCAUAAAUACCUUUGUACACUCUGGCUCCAAGUUGGGGAUGACAACCUAGUAUUCAAGUGGUCUUAGUAACUGUCAACAAUGUGACAGCAAGCAAUCAUGAUUUUAGGAGAUAUUUUACUGUGCAAGAUCUCUUGGUCGGCUCAUCGGCAGUCCACUCUAACGGAACAGUUACCGAUGAGCGGAUGUUUAGGAGAUUUGGUUCGGGAGGUUGAGAAAUUCGAGGUGCAUGUUGGUUGGCUCUUCGACAAUGCCGCCGCUAGAGAGAUGAGUUUGGGGGAUGAAGGAUGGAAAGUUAGAGAAAGAGUACCAAGGAAGGAAGUAUUUAUAGGGUAAAGUGAACAGGGGCAUUUCUGACUUAUCUGUUUGCUGUAUGCGUGAAAUUCGUGGGUGUUCAGAUGGACAUGGUAACUGUUCGUACGAUAAUUAAGGGAUUGUGCAGGUGAUGUGACAACAAGCAAUCAUGAUUUUAGGAGAUAUUUUACUGUGCAGGAUCUUCUGGUCGGCGAAUCGGCAGUCCACUCUAACGGAACAGUUGCCGAUGAGCGGAUGUUUAGGAGAUUUGGUUCGGGAGGUUGAGAAAUUCGAGGUGCAUGCUGGAGAUCCGGGUUAAGGUUGUUUGGAUUUGGUAAUUAAUUGUUGUUAGAAGUGAAUAACUGCGAAAAGGGCAUCAUUAUUAGGCGAGAAUUUCGGAGAAUUAAUGAUUUUAUACUCCGAAAUUGGGGGGCAUGUGUUGACACCGUUUUUGGACACGUAUAAGGAAAGUUAAUGGAGCUUGGUUUGGCAGAUGAAAGAGUGAUAACUGGUUGACUAAGGACUUGCCGAUGGCUUAUGAUACCGAUGAUGAAGCAGCAGGAUAUGGUCAAGUACAGGAAUGGUAGUUGAUCCAUGCCAAUGGUUGAUAUUGACGAUUGCCGAUGCCGAUGGAGGAUGGUAUGCCGAUGACGGUGGAGGAAGAUGUGGGAAUUGUCGAAAAGAUGAUGAUGGUGUGCCGAUCACCUAGGAUAGAUAAAUUAUUGUUUUCCAUAAUUAUUAGAGUUUGUUUUGUAUACGGAUUCUGUUUAGUUUGGAAUUAGAAUCCUAGUCGUAUCUGGUUGUAACUCUAUAGGAUAGGGUAUAAAUAUAGACCUAGUAACGAUGUAAGAAAGGAAUCUAGUCAAUCAUACACAAAGUUUUUACAUCUAUCUUCGCAUCUACUUUCGAUGACUUCGUCAACUUGCAUUUUUCGUUUUUACUUACGAGUUCUUAGGAAUUCAUCGAGCCAAACUCGACGGGUUCUUGAGUUCCGCGUGAGUACCCCUUGGCCGUGACAUCCGGGCGCAUCGCUGUUGUCGGGACCAAAGUAUUCGAGUUAUCACCUUUGUCGGUUGUAAGGUCAAAUCGGCUAGCACGCCUUAACAUUGAAUCGGGUAUUAGCCCUUUGUGUUGGCAGAUACACUUUUGCAUCAACAGUUGUAUUUGUAAGGUCCCCUAAAGGUACCCGAUCACCGGUUGGUCUUGGCGUGUGUUGACACCGUUUUUGGACACGUACCCGGGAUCGGUAGAGUGUGGAUCGGCAAGAAGAAGGCAAUAGUGAUUGGUCUGCAGGAGGGUUGCCGAUGAGAAGAUAUCUGAAUGUGGCUGAGUCCAUGGAUGGUGGUGUGUUUAUGCCAAUGGCCAAUGUUAAUCGUUGCCAAUGAGGAGUCUGCCGAUGGCGUGAAAAGAAGACUCGGAGGUCGCCGAGUGGUCCGUGGUUGUCACGGCAGGAUAGUUUUGCGUUUUCCUUAAUUAUUUAAAUCAUUUUGUAUACGGGUUCUGUUUAAAUUUGGAAUUUGAAUUCUAGUCGUGUUUGGUUGUAGCUCUUUGAGCAGGGUAUAAAUGUGGACCCUAGGGCCUUGUAAUCGAGACAUCUAUCAAUCAAUCAAGCACAAGCUUUUAUUUAUAUUCUAGCAUCUACUUUUUUGAAGACUUCGUCACACUUUUCUUUUUAUUACGAGUUCUUCGAAAUUUGUCGACUUAAGCUCGGCGUGUUCUCAAGUUUCGUGUGAAUACCUCUUGGCCGUGGCAUCCGAGCGCAUCGCUGUUGUCGGGACCAAAGUGUUCGAGUUAUCACCUUUGUCGAUAGUAAGGUCAAAUCGGCUCGCACGCCUUAACGUUUAAAUCGGGUAUUAGCCCUUUGUGUUUGCAGAUCAGCUUUUGCAUCAACACAUCUUUUGGCACGCCCAGUGGGACUAGAUUCAAGAUCAAGAUCGACAUGUCGACUACUGAGUUUGAUCAGGAGAAUGUCAUCCCUGUGACGGAAGCCAAUCUCAAGGAUGAGCAGAAGCAAGCUAUUGCUAAAGCCAUGGAGGAUUACAAGCAGCAAUGCCUGAGGUCCUUCAGCAUGAACAGGAGCGGCAAGGUGAUCCAGAAGGAUGCACUGCCGAUGCCUCGGCAGGUUACUUUUGAAGCCAAUCCUGGUAAACUCCAAGACAUGGUCGAUAGUGCUAUCAACCGUGCCUUGAUCAACCAAGCUGGUGUACUGUCCAAUACGGUUUUUAAUGCCAUGGCUAGAACUUUCAAGGAAGGACAGUUGCCACCGAAUUAUGUGGGCCCUUCUCAACAUCAGCCGGGAUCACCGGUGGUCACAGCUCCAUCGGCUGCUGCAGCCGCUGCGGGCACGGAAAUUCCUGUUCCUCCGAGCACGUUAGGAGUCACUAAUGCACAAUCUACGCCGAUAACAACUAAUCCACUGACUUCAGAUGAACAGAUCAAGCUCACUACAGAUUUAUUGGCAUCGGCAAUGUCAGGACCAGUUCCUCCUCCUAACUGGUGGGGUUUCGGUAUGCCCCCAGAAUACUUGAAGACGCCUGGCACAUCUCAGGCAGCUGAUACGAGAGGCAAGGCUCCUAUGGCAUCGGCGCCUCCAAAUGUGCCGAUGAAUCAGAGUCCCCAGUAUACUAGAACUACUACUGCAAGACCUUACACUGGGAAUUCUCAAGCUCCGACGUACCAGAUGCCUAACGCAUCGACAGACUCAAUGCUGAUGCAACAGAGAUUUAUGACUCAGCCAGGGUAUGUCAAUUCAAUGAUGAUGCCCAAUUACCAGUCAUCGGCAGGACCUAUGCCGAUGAAUGGUAAUAGUGGAUGGCUUGGGCAGCAAGUCUUUCCGCAAACGCCCCAACAGAAUCAUCAGGCUGCGGGGUUCUAGCAAGGCCAGAUCUACCCCGGGUUCCAUAAUCAGGGACUACCCAACCAGCCAAUGAAUUUUGGGCAGCAAAUCGGCGGACAACAGAUCGG